rnacentral:lncRNA from 1 species
UUCUUUCAUCAGUUUGUUCCCCGUUUCUUCUCUAGCCUGAGCCCGACACACUAUUCUAGCUAGACAUGGGUGUGGCUCGUAACACCUAAUGACCAAACGGAUCUACGGCACCGUUGAAUCUCAAACUUUAACAGCCAAAAUUAUUGUUUUUCAUUAUGUAGUCUCUUUUAAAUUACUAAACGUCAUUUUUUGAGCUGAGAUAUCCAGGAACGCUUUCUCGGGGUUUUUGUGCACGUAUUUCAAAUCAUACGGACCUGAAAAUUAGAAGUCAUUCCAUCUUUAUUCCCCUAGAGCCUUCCAGCAGUUCCUAAACCGCUCCAGUUGGACCACGUUAUCAUUCUUGUUAGUUCUGAGUGAAUUACCUUAGUAUGAUCAUUCUUUCAUCAGUUUGUUCCCUGUUUCUUCUAUAGUCUGAGCCUAGCACACUACUCUAGCUAGACAUGGGUGUGGCUCGUAACACCUGAUGACCAAACAGAUCUACGGCACCGUCGAAUCUCAAACUUUAACUGCCAAAACUAUUGUUUUUCAUCCUGUAGACCCUUUUAGAAUUACUAAACGUCCUUUUUUGGGCUGAGAUUUCCGGGAACGCUUUCACGGGGUUUGUGUGCACGUAUUUUAAACCAUAUGGACCUAAAAAUUAGAAGUCAUUCCAUCUUUAUUCCCAUAGAGCCUAACACACUAUUCUAGCUAGAUAUGGGUGUGGCUCGUAACACCUGAUGACCAAACGGAUCUACGGCACCAUCGAAUCUCAAACUUUAACUGCCAAAACUAUUGUAUUUCAUCAUGUAGUCCCUUUUAGAAUUAUUAAACGUCCUUUUUUAGGGCCGUGAUUUCCAUGAACGCUUUCUUGGGGUUUCUGUGCAUGUAUUUCAAAUCAUACGGACCUAAAAAUUAGAAGUCAUUCCAUCUUUAUUCCCCUAGAGCCUUCCAGCAGUUCCUAAACCGCUUCAGUCGGAGCACGUUAUCAUUCUUGUUAGUUCUGAGUGAAUUCCCUUGGUAUGAUCAUUCUUUCAUCAGUUUGUUCCCCGUUUCUUCUCUAGUCUGAGCCUAGCACACUAUUCUAGCUAGACAUGGGUGUGGCUCAUAACACCUCAUGACCAAACGGAUCUACGGCACCAUCGAAUCUCAAACUUUAACUGCCAAAACUAUUGUUUUUCAUCCUGUAGUCCCUUUUAGAAUUACUAAACGUCCUUUUUUGGGCAGAUAUUUCCAGGAACGCUUUAUCGGGGUUUGUGUGCUCGUAUUUCAGACCAUACGGACCUAAAAAUUAGAACUCAUUCCAUCUUUAUUCCCCUAUAGCCUUCCAGCAAUUCCGAAACCACUCUAUUCGGAGCACGUUAUCAUUCUUGUUAGUUCUAAAAGAAUUCCCUCGGUAUGAUCAUUCUUUCAUCAGUUUAUUUCCCGUUUCUUCUCUAGUCUAAGCCUAGCACACUAGUCUAGCUAGACAUGGGUGUGGCUCGUAACACCUGAUGACCAAACGGAUCUACGGCACCGUCAAAUCUCAAACUUUAACUGCCAAAACUAUUGUUUUUCAUCCUGUAGUCCCUUUAGAAUUACAAAAGGUCCUUUUUUGGGCCGAGAUUUCCAGGAACACUUUCUCGGGGGUUUGUGUGCAUGUAUUUCAAACCAUAUGGACCUAAAAAUUAGAAGUCAUUCCAUCUUUAUUCCCCUAGAGCCUUCCAGCAGUUCCUAAACCGCUCCAGUCGGAGCAUGUUAUCAUUCUUGUUAGUUCUGAGUGAAUUCCCUCGGUAUGAUCAUUCUUUCAUCAGUUUGUUCCCCAUUUCUUCUCUAGUCUGAGCCUAGCUCACUAUUCUAGCUAGACAUGGGUGUGGCUCGUAAUACCUGAUGACCAAAUGGAUCUACGGCACCAUCGAAUCUCAAACUUUUACUGCCAAAACUAUUGUUUUUCAUCCUGUAGUCCCUUUUAGAAUUACUAAACGUCCUUUUUUGGGCUGAGAUUUCCAGGAACGCUUUCUUGGGGUUUGUGUGCACGUAUUUCAAACCAAGCGUUCCUAAAAAUUAGAAGUCAUUCCAUCUUUAUUCCCCUAGAGCCUUACAGCAGUUCCUAAACUGCUCCAGUCGGCGCACGUUAUCAUUCUUGUUAGUUCUGAGUGAAUUCCCUCGGUAUGAUCAUUCUUUCAUCAGUUUGUUCCCCGUUUCUUCUCUAGUCUGAGCCUACCACACUAUUCUAGCUAGACAUGGGUGUGGCUCAUAACACCUUAUGACCAAACGGAUCUACGGCACCAUCGAAUCUCAAACUUUAACUGCCAAAACUAUUGUUUUUCAUCCUGUAGUCCCUUUUAGAAUUACUAAACGUCCUUUUUUGGGCAGAUAUUUCCAGGAAUGCUUUAUCGGGGUUUGUGUGCACGUAUUUCAGACCAUACGGACCUAAAAAUUAGAAGUCAUUCCAUCUUUAUUCCCCUAUAGCCUUCCACCAGUUCCUAAACCACUCCAGUCGGAGCACGUUAUCAUUCUUGUUAGUUCUGAGCGAAUUCCCUCGGUAUGAUCAUUCUUUCAUCAGUUUAUUCCCCGUUUCUUCUCUAGUCUAAGCCUAGCACACUAGUCUAGCUAGACAUGGGUGUGGCUCGUAACACCUGAUGACCAAACGGAUCUACGGCACCGUCAAAUCUCAAACUUUAACUGCCAAAACUAUUGUUUUUCAUCCUGUAGUCCCUUUUAGAAUAACUAAACGUCCUUUUUUGGGCCGAGAUUUCCGGGAACACUUUCUCGGGGUUUGUGUGCAUGUAUUUCAAACCAUAUGGACCUAAAAAUUAGAAGUCAUUCCAUCUUUAUUCCCCUAGAGCCUUCCAGCAGUUCCUAAACCGCUCCAGUCGGAGCAUGUUAUCAUUCUUGUUAGUUCUGAGUGAAUUCCCUCGGUACGAUCAUUCUUUCAUCAGUUUGUUCCCCGUUUCUUCUCUAGUCUGAGCCUAGCUCACUAUUCUAGCUAGACAUGGGUGUGGCUCAUAAUACCUGAUGACCAAACGGAUCUACGGCACUAUCGAAUCUCAAACUUUAACUGCCAAAACUAUUGUUUUUCAUCCUGUAGUCCCUUUUAGAAUUACUAAACGUCCUUUUUUGGGCCGAGAUUUCCAGGAACGCUUUCUUGGGGUUUGUGUGCAUGUAUUUCAAACCAAGCGUUCCUAAAAAUUAGAAGUCAUUCCAUCUUUAUUCCCCUAGAGCCUUACAGCAGUUCCUAAACUGCUCCAGUCGGCGCACGUUAUCAUUCUUGUUAGUUCUGAGCGAAUUCCCUCGGUAUGAUCAUUCUUUCAUCAGUUUGUUCCCCAUUUCUUCUCUAGUUUGAGCCUAGCACACUAUUCUAGCUAGACAUGGGUGUGGGUCAUAACACCUGAUGACCAAACAGAUCGACGACACCAUCGACUCUCAAACUUUAACUGCCAAAACUAUUGUUUUUCAUCCUGUAGUCCCUUUUAGAAUUACUAAACGUCCUUUUUUGGGCCGAGAUUUCCAAGAACGCUUUCUCGGGGUUUGUGUGCACGUAUUUCAAACCAAACAUUCCUAAAAAUUAGAAGUCAUUCCAUCUUUAUUCCCCUAGAGCCUUCCAGUAGUUCCUAAACAGCUCCAGUCGGAGGACGUUAUCAUUCUUGUUAGUUCUGAGUGAAUUCCCUCGGUAUGAUCAUUCUUUCAUCAGUUUGUUCCCUGUUUCUUCUCUAGUAUGAGCCUCGCACACUAUUCUAGCUAUUAAUGGGUGUGGAUCGUAACACCUGAUGACCAAACGGAUCUACGGCACCAUCGAAUAUCAAACUUUAACUGCCAAAACUAUUGUUUUUCAUUCUGUAGUCCCUUUUAAAUUACUAAAUGUCAUUUUUGGGCUGAGAUAUCCAGGAACGCUUUCUCGGGGUUUGUGUGCAUGUAUUUCAAAUCAUACGGACCUAAAAAUUAGAAGUCAUUCCAUCUUUAUUCCCCUAGAGCCUUCCAGCAGUUCCUAAACCACUCCAGUCGGAACACGUUGUCAUUAUUGUUAGUUCUGAGUGAAUUCCCUCGGUAUGAUCAUUCUUUCAUCAGUUUUUUCCCCGUUUCUUCUAUAGUCUGAGCCUAUCACACUAUUCUAGCUAGACAUGGGUGUGGCACGUAACACCUGAUGACCAAACGGAUCUACGGCACCGUCGAAUCUCAAACUUUAACUGCCAAAACUAUUGUUUUUCAUCCUGUUGUCCCUUUAGAAUUACUAAAUGUCCUUUUUUGGGCCGAGAUUUCCAGGAACGCUUUCUCGGGAUUUGUGUGCAUGUAUUUCAAACCAUACGGACCUACAAAUUAGGUCAUUCCAUCUUUAUUCCCCUAGAGCCUUCCAGCAGUUCCUAAACUGCUCCAGUCGGAGCACGUUAUCAUUCUUGUUUGUUCUCAGCGAAUUCCCUCGGUAUGAUCAUUCUUUCAUCAUUUUGUUCCCCGUUUCUUCUCUAGUCUAAGCCUAGCACACUAUUCUAGCUACACAUGGGUGUGGCUCGUAACACCUGAUGACCAAACGGAUCUACGGCACCGUCGAAUCUCAAACUUUAACUGCCAAAACUAUUGUUUUUCAACCUAUAGUCCCUUUUAAAUUUACUAAACGUCCUUUUUUGGGCUGAGAUUUCCAGGAACGCUUUCGUGCGGUUUGUGUGCAAGUAUUUGAAAUCAUACGGACCUAUAAAUUAGAAGUCAUUUCAUCUUUAUUCCCCUAGAGCCUUCGAGCGGUUCCUAAACCGCUCCAGUCGGAGCAUGUUAUCGUUCUUGUUAGUUCUGAGUGAAUUCCCUCGGUAUGAUCAUUCUUUCAUCAGUUUGUUCCCCAUUUCUUCUCUAGUCUGAGCCUAGCACACUACUCUAGCUAGACAUGGGUUUGGCUUGUAACACCUGAUAACCAAACGGGUCUACGACACCAUCGAAUCUCAAACUUUUUUGGGCCGAGAUUUCCAGGAACGCUUUCUCGGGGUUUGUGUGCACGUAUUUCAAAUCAUGCGGACCUAAAAAUUAGAAGUCAUUCCAUAUUUAUUCCCCUAGAGCCUUCCAGCAGUUCCCAAACCGCUCCAGUCGGAGCAUGUUAUCAUUCUUGUUAGUUCUGAGCGAGUUCCCUCGGUAUGAUCAUUCUUUCAUCAGUUUGUUCCCUGUUUCUUCUCUAGCCUGAGCCUGACACACUAUUAUAGCUAGACAUGGGUGUGGCUCGUGACACCUGAUGACCAAAUGGAUCUACGGCACCGUCGAAUCUCAAACUUUAACUGCCAAAACUAUUGUUUUUCAUCCUGUAGUCCCUUUUAGAAUUACGAAACGUCCUUUUUUGGGCCAUGAUUUCCAGGAAUGCUUUCUUGGGGUUUGUGUGCACGUAUUUCAAACCAUACGGACCUAAAAAUUAGAAGUCAUUCCAUCUUUAUUCCCCUAGAGCCUUCCAGCAGUUCCUAAACUGCUCUAUUUGGAGCAUGUUAUCAUUCUUGUUAGUUCUGAGUGAAUUCCCUCGGUAUGAUCAUUCUUUCAUCAGUUUGUUCCCCGUUUCUUCUCUAGUCUGAGCCUAGCACACUAUUCUAGCUAUUAAUGGGUGUGGAUCGUAACACCUGAUGAGCAAACGGAUCUACGGCACAAUCGAAUCUCAAACUUUAACUGCCAAAACUAUUGUUUUUCAUUCUGUAGUCCCUUUUCGAAUUAUUAAACGUCCUUUUUUGGGCCGAGAUUUCCAGGAACGCUUUCUCGGGGUUUGUGUGCAUGUAUUUCAAAUCAUACGGACCUAAAAAUUAGAAGGCAUUCCAUCUUUAUUCCCCUAGAGCCUUCCAGCAGUUCCUAAACCGCUCCAGUCGGAGCAUGUUAUCAUUCUUGUUAGUUCUGAGCGAAUUCCCUCGGUAUGAUCAUUCUAUCAUCUGUUUGUUCCCUGUUUCUUCGCUAGCCUAAGCCUGACACACUAUUCUAGCUAGACAUGGGUGUGGCUCGUGACACCUAAUGACCAAACGGAUCUACGGCACCCUCGAAUCUCAAACUUUAACUACCAAAACUAUUGUUUUUCAUUCUGUAGUCCCUUUUAGAUUACUAAACAUCCUUUUUUGGGCUGAGAUUUCCAGGAACGCUUUCUCGGGGUUUGUGUGCAUGUAUUUCAAACCAAACGUUCCUAAAAUUAGAAGUCAUUCCAUCUUAAUUCCCCUAGAGCCUUCUAGCAAUUCCUAAACAGCUCUAGUCGGAGCAUGUUAUCAUUCUUGUUAAUUCUGAGCGAAUUCCCUCCGUAUGAUCAUUCUUUCAUCAGUUUGUUCCCCGUUUCUUCUCUAGUCUAAGCCUAGCACACUAGUCUAGCUAGACAUGGGUGUGGCUCGUAACACCUGAUGACCAAACGGAUCUACGGCACCGUCAAAUGUCAAACUUUAACUGCCAAAACUAUUGUUUUUCAUCCUGUAGUCCCUUUUCGAAUUAUUAAACGUCCUUUUUUGGGCCGAGAUUUCCAGGAACGCUUUCUCGGGGUUUGUGUGGAUGUAUUUCAAAUCAUACGGACCUAAAAAUUAGAAGGCAUUCCAUCUUUAUUCCCCUAGAGCCUUCCAGCAGUUCCUANNNNNNNNNNNNNNNNNNNNNNNNNNNNNNNNNNNNNNNNNNNNNNNNNNNNNNNNNNNNNNNNNNNNNNNNNNNNNNNNNNNNNNNNNNNNNNNNNNNNNNNNNNNNNNNNNNNNNNNNNNNNNNNNNNNNNNNNNNNNNNNNNNNNNNNNNNNNNNNNNNNNNNNNNNNNNNNNNNNNNNNNNNNNNNNNNNNNNNNNNNNNNNNNNNNNNNNNNNNNNNNNNNNNNNNNNNNNNNNNNNNNNNNNNNNNNNNNNNNNNNNNNNNNNNNNNNNNNNNNNNNNNNNNNNNNNNNNNNNNNNNNNNNNNNNNNNNNNNNNNNNNNNNNNNNNNNNNNNNNNNNNNNNNNNNNNNNNNNNNNNNNNNNNNNNNNNNNNNNNNNNNNNNNNNNNNNNNNNNNNNNNNNNNNNNNNNNNNNNNNNNNNNNNNNNNNNNNNNNNNNNNNNNNNNNNNNNNNNNNNNNNNNNNNNNNNNNNNNNNNNNNNNNNNNNNNNNNNNNNNNNNNNNNNNNNNNNNNNNNNNNNNNNNNNNNNNNNNNNNNNNNNNNNNNNNNNNNNNNNNNNNNNNNNNNNNNNNNNNNNNNNNNNNNNNNNNNNNNNNNNNNNNNNNNNNNNNNNNNNNNNNNNNNNNNNNNNNNNNNNNNNNNNNNNNNNNNNNNNNNNNNNNNNNNNNNNNNNNNNNNNNNNNNNNNNNNNNNNNNNNNNNNNNNNNNNNNNNNNNNNNNNNNNNNNNNNNNNNNNNNNNNNNNNNNNNNNNNNNNNNNNNNNNNNNNUCGCUAGCCUAAGCCUGACACACUAUUCUAGCUACACAUGGGUGUGGCUCGUGACACCUAAUGACCAAACAGAUCUACGGCACCGUCGAAUCUCAAACUUUAACUACCAAAACUAUUGUUUUUCAUUCUGUAGUCCCUUUUAAAUUACUAAACGUCAUUUUUUGGGCCGAGAUUUCUAGGAACGCUUUCUCGGGGUUUGUGUGCAUGUAUUUCAAGUCAUAUGGACCUAAAAAUUAGAAUCCAUUCCAUCUUUAUUCCCCUAGAGCCUUCCAGCAGUUCCUAAACUGCUCCAGUCGGAGCACAUUAUCAUUAUUGUUAGUUCUGAGUGAAUUCCCUCGGUAUGAUCAUUCUUUCAUCAGUUUGUUCCCCGUUUCUGCUCUACUCUGAGCUUAACACACUAUUCUAGCUAGACAUGGGUGUGGCUCGUAACACCUGAUGACCAAACGGAUCUACGAUACCGUCGAAUCUCAAACUUUGACUACGAAAACUAUUGUUUUUCAUUCUAUAGUCCCUUUUAGAAUUACUAAACGUCCUUUUUUGGGCCGAGAUUUCUAGGAACGCUUUCUCGGGGUUUGUGUGCACGUAUUUCAAACAAUACGGACCUAAAAAUUAGAAUUCAUUCCAUCUUUAUUCCCCUAGAGCCUUCCAGCAGUUCCUAAACCGCUCAAGUCGGAGCACUUUAUCAUUCUUGUUAGUUCUCAGCGAAUUCCCUCGGUAUGAUCAUUCUUUCAUCAGUUUGUUCCCCAUUUCUUCUCUAGCCUGAGCCUAACACACUAUUCUAGCUACACAUGGGUGUGGCUCGUCACACCCGAUGACCAAACGGAUCUACGGCACCGUCGAAUCUCAAACUUUAACUGCCAAAACUAUUGUUUUUCAUCCUGUAGUCCCUUUUAGAAUUACUAAACGUCCUUUUUUGGGUAGAUAUUUCCAGGAACGCUUUAUCGGGGUUUGUGUGCACGUAUUUCAGACCAUACGGACCUAAAAAUUAGAAGUCAUUCCAUCUUUAUUCCCCUAUAGCCUUCCAGCAGUUCCUAAACCGCUCCAGUCGGAGCCCGUUAUCAUUCUUGUUAGUUUUGAGCGAAUUCCCUCGGUAUGAUCAUUCUUUCAUCAGUUUGUUCCCCGUUUCUUCUCUAGUCUAAGCCUAGCACACUAGUUUAGCUAGACAUGGGUGUGGCUCGUAACACCUGAUGGCCAAACGGAUCUACGGCACCGUGAAAUCUCAAACUUUAACUGCCAAAACUGUUGUUUUUCAUCCUGUAGUCCCUUUUAGAAUUACUAAACGUCCUUUUUUGGGCUGAGAUUUCCAGGAACACUUUCUCGGGGUUUGUGUGCAUGUAUUUCAAACCAUAUGGACCUAAAAAUUAGAAGUCAUUCCAUCUUUAUUCCCCUAGAGCCUUCCAACAGUCCCUAAACCGCUCCAGUCCGAGCAUGUUAUCAUUCUUGUUAGUUCUGAGUGAAUUCCCUCGGUAUGAUCAUUCUUUCAUCAGUUUGUUCCCCAUUUCUUCUCUAGUCUGAGCCUAGCUCACUAUUCUAGCUAGACAUGGGUGUGGCUUAUAAUACCUGAUGACCAAACGGAUCUACGGCACCAUCGAAUCUCAAACUUUAACUGCCAAAACUAUUGUUUUUCAUCCUGUAGUCCCUUUUAGAAUUACUAAACGUCCUUUUUUGGGCCGAGAUUUCCAGGAACGCUUUCUCGGGGUUUGUGUGCACGUAUUUCAAACCAAGCGUUCUUAAAAAUUAGAAGUUAUUCCAUCUUUAUUCCCCUAGAGCCUUACAGCAGUUCCUAAACUGCUCCAAUCGGCGCACGUUAUCAUUCUUGUUAGUUCUGAGCGAAUUCCCUCGGUAUGAUCAUUCUUUCAUCAGUUUGUUCCCCGUUUCUUCUCUAGUUUGAGCCUAGCACACUAUUCUAGCUAGACAUGGGUGUGGGUCAUAACACCUGAUGACCAAACAGAUCGACGACACCAUCGAAUCGCAAACUUUAACUGCCAAAACUAUUGUUUUUCAUCCUGUAGUCCCUUUUAGAAUUACUAAACGUCCUUUUUUGGGUCGAGAUUUCCAAGAACGCUUUCUCGGGGUUUGUGUGCACGUAUUUCAAACCAAAAAUUCCUAAAAAUUAGAAGUCAUUCCAUCUUUAUUCCCCUAGAGCCUUCCAGCAGUUCCUAAACAGCUCUAGUCGGAGCACGUUAUCAUUCUUGUUAGUUCUGAGCGAAUUCCCUCGGUAUGAUCAUUCUUUCAUCAGUUUGUUCCCCGUUUCUUCUAUAGUCUGAGCCUAUCACACUAUUCUAGCUAGACAUGGGUGUGGCUCGUAACACCUGAUGACCAAACGGAUCUACGGCACCAUCAAAUCUAAAACUUUAACUGCCAAAACUAUUGUUUUUCAUCCUGUAGUCCCUUUAGAACUACUAAAUGUCCUUUUUUGGGCCGAUAUUUCCAGGAACGCUUUCUCGGGGUUUGUGUGCAUGUAUUUCAAACCAUACGGACCUAAAAAUUAGGUCAUUCCAUCUUUAUUCCCCUAGAGCCUUCCAGCAGUUCCUAAACCGCUCCAGUCGGAGCAUGUUAUCAUUCUUGUUUGUUCUGAGUGAAUUCCCUCAGUAUGAUCAUUCUUUCAUCAUUUUGUUCCCCGUUUCUUCUCUAGUCUGAGCCUAGCACACUAUUCUAGCUAGACAUGGGUGUGGCUCGUAACACCUGACCAAACGGAUCUACGGCACCGUCGAAUCUCAAACUUUAACUGCCAAAACUAUUGUUUUUCAUCCUGUAGUCCCUUUUAAAUUUAAUAAACGUCCUUUUUUUGGGCUGAGAUUUCCAGGAACGCUUUCGUGCGGUUUGUGUGCAAGUAUUUCAAAUCAUACAGACCUAUAAAUUAGAAGUCAUUUCAUCUUUAUUCCCCUAGAGCCUUCGAGCGGUUCCUAAACCGCUCAAGUCGGAGCAUGUUAUCAUUCUUGUUAGUUCUGAGUGAAUUCCCUCGGUAUGAUCAUUCUUUCAUCAGUUUGUUCCCCAUUCCUUCUCUAGUCUGAGCCUAGCACACUACUCUAGCUAGACAUGGGUUUGGCUCGUAACACCUGAUAACCAAACGGGUCUACGACACCAUCGAAUCUCAAACUUUUUUGGGCCAAGAUUUCCAGGAACGCUUUCUCGGGGUUUGUGUGCACGUAUUUCAAAUCAUGCGGACCUAAAAAUUAGAAGUCAUUCCAUAUUUAUUCCCCUAGAGCCUUCCAGCAGUUCCUAAACCGCUCCAGUUGGACCACGUUAUCAUUCUUGUUAGUUCUGAGUGAAUUACCUCGGUAUGAUCAUUCUUUCAUCAGUUUGUUCCCCGUUUCUUCUAUAGUCUGAGCCUAGCACACUACUCUAGCUAGACAUGGGAGUGGCUCGUAACACCUGAUGACCAAACAGAUCUAUGGCACCGUCGAAUCUCAAACUUUAACUACCAAAACUAUUGUUUUUCAUCCUGUAGUCCCUUUUAGAAUUACUAAAUGUCAUUUUUUGGGCUGAGAUUUCCAGGAACGCUUUCGCGGGGUUUGUGUGCACGUAUUUCAAACCAUAGGGACCUAAAAAUUAGAAGUCAUUCCAUCUUUAUUCCCCUAGAGCCUAACACACUAUUCUAGCUAGACAUGGGUGUGGCUCGUAACACCUGAUGACCAAACGGAUCUACGGCACCAUCGAAUCUCAAACUUUAACUGCCAAAAUUAUUGUAUUUCAUCCUGUAGUCCCUUUUAGAAUUAUUAAACGUCCUUUUUUUGGGCUGUGAUUUCCAUGAACGCUUUCUCGGGGUUUCUGUGCACGUAUUUCAAAUCAUACAGACCUAAAAAUUAGAAGUCAUUCCAUCUUUAUUCCCCUAGAGCCUUCCAACAGUUCCUAAACCGCUCCAGUCGGAGCACAUUAUCAUUCUUGUUAGUUCUGAGUGAAUUCCCAUGGUAUGAUCAUUCUUUCAUUAGUUUGUUCCCCGUUUCUUCUCUAGUCUGAGCCUACCACACUAUUCCAGCUAGACAUGGGUGUGGCUCAUAACACCUUAUGACCAAACGGAUCUACGGCACCAUCGAAUCUCAAACUUUAACCGCCAAAACUAUUGUUUUUCAUCCUGUAGUCCCUUUUAGAAUUACUAAACGUCCUUCUUUGGGUAGAGAUUUCCAGGAAUGCUUUAUCGGGGUUUGUGUGCACGUAUUUCAGACCAUACGGACCUAAAAAUUAGAAGUCAUUCCAUCUUUAUUCCCCUAGAGCCUUCCAACAGUUCCUGAACCGCUCCAGUCGGAGCAUGUUAUCAUUCUUGUUAGUUCUGAGCGAAUUCCCUCGGUAUGAUCAUUCUUUCAUCAGUUUGUUUCCCGUUUCUUCUCUAGUCUGAGCCUAGCACACUACUCUAGCUAGACAUUGGUGUGGCUCGUAACACCUGAUGACCAAACGGAUCUACGGCACCGUCAAAUCUCAAACUUUAACUGCCAAAACUAUUGUUUUUCAUCCUGUAGUCCCUUUUAGAAUUACUAAACGUCCUUUUUUGGGCCGAUAUUUCCAGGAACGCUUUCUUGGGGUUUGUGUGCAUGUAUUUCAAACCAUAUGGAACUAAAAAUUACAAGUCAUUCCAUCUUUAUUCCACUAGAGCCUUCCAGCAGUUCCUAAACCGCUCCAAUCGGAGCAUGUUAUCAUUCUUGUUAAUUCUGAGUGAAUUCCCUUGGUAUGAUCAUUCUUUCAUCAGUUUGUUCCCGAUUUCUUCUCCAGUCUGAGCCUAGCUCACUAUUCUAGCUAGACAUGGGUGUGGCUCAUAAUACCUGAUGACCAAACGGAUCUACGACACCAUCGAAUCUCAAACUUUAACUGCCAAAACUAUUGUUUUUCAUCUUGUAGUCCCUUUUAGAAUUACUAAAAGUCCUUUAUUGGGCCGAGAUUUCCAGGAACGCUUUAUCGGGGUUUGUGUGCUCGUAUUUCAGACCAUACGGACCUAAAAAUUAGAACUCAUUCCAUCUUUAUUCCCCUAGAGCCUUCCAGCAGCUCCUAAACCGCUCCAGUCGGAGCACGUUAUCAUUCUUGUUAGUUCUGAGCAAAUUCCCUCGUUAUGAUCAUUCUUUCAUCAGUUUGUUCCCCGUUCCUUCUCUGGUCUGAGCCUAGCACACUAUUCUAGCUAUUAAUGGGUGUGGAUCGUAACACUUGAUGAUCAAACAGAUCUACGGCACCAUCGAUUCUCAAACUUUAACUGCCAAAACUAUUGUUUUUCAUCCCGUAGUCCCUUUUAGAAUUAUUAAACGUCCUUUUUUGGGCCGAGAUUUCUAGGAACGCUGCCUCGGGGUUUUUGUGCACGUAUUUCAAAUCAUACGGACCUGAAAAUUAGAAGUCAUUCCAUCUUUAUUCCCCUAGAGCCUUCCAGCAGUUCCUAAACCGCUCCAGUUGGACCACGUUAUCAUUCUUGUUAGUUCUGAGUGAAUUACCUUAGUAUGAUCAUUCUUUCAUCAGUUUGUUCCCUGUUUCUUCUAUAGUCUGAGCCUAGCACACUACUCUAGCUAGACAUGGGUGUGGCUCGUAACACCUGAUGACCAAACAGAUCUACGACACCGUCGAAUCUCAAACUUUAACUGCCAAAACUAUUGUUUUUCAUCCUGUAGACCCUUUUAGAAUUACUAAACGUCCUUUUUUGGGCUGAGAUUUCCAGGAACGCUUUCACGGGGUUUGUGUGCACGUAUUUUAAACCAUAUGGACCUAAAAAUUAGAAGUCAUUCCAUCUUUAUUCCCAGAGAGCCUAACACACUAUUCUAGCUAGAUAUGGGUGUGGCUCGUAACACCUGAUGACCAAACGGAUCUACGGCACCAUCGAAUCUCAAACUUUAACUGCCAAAACUAUUGUAUUUCAUCAUGUAGUCCCUUUUAGAAUUAUUAAACGUCCUUUUUUAGGGCCGUGAUUUCCAUGAACGCUUUCUUGGGGUUUCUGUGCAUGUAUUUCAAAUCAUACGGACCUAAAAAUUAGAAGUCAUUCCAUCUUUAUUCCCCUAGAGCCUUCCAGCAGUUCCUAAACCGCUUCAGUCGGAGCACGUUAUCAUUCUUGUUAGUUCUGAGUGAAUUCCCUUGGUAUGAUCAUUCUUUCAUCAGUUUGUUCCCCGUUUCUUCUCUAGUCUGAGCCUAGCACACUAUUCUAGCUAGACAUGGGUGUGGCUCAUAACACCUUAUGACCAAACGGAUCUACGGCACCAUCGAAUCUCAAACUUUAACUGCCAAAACUAUUGUUUUUCAUCCUGUAGUCCCUUUUAGAAUUACUAAACGUCCUUUUUUGGGCAGAUAUUUCCAGGAACGCUUUAUCGAGGUUUGUGUGCUCGUAUUUCAGACCAUACGGACCUAAAAAUUAGAACUCAUUCCAUCUUUAUUCCCCUAUAGCCUUCCAGCAAUUCUGAAACCACUCCAGUCGGAGCACGUUAUCAUUCUUGUUAGUUCUAAAAGAAUUCCCUCGGUAUGAUCAUUCUUUCAUCAGUUUAUUUCCCGUUUCUUCUCUAGUCUAAGCCUAGCACACUAGUCUAGCUAGACAUGGGUGUGGCUCGUAACACCUGAUGACCAAACGGAUCUACGGCACCGUCAAAUCUCAAACUUUAACUGCCANNNNNNNNNNNNNNNNNNNNNNNNNNNNNNNNNNNNNNNNNNNNNNNNNNNNNNNNNNNNNNNNNNNNNNNNNNNNNNNNNNNNNNNNNNNNNNNNNNNNNNNNNNNNNNNNNNNNNNNNNNNNNNNNNNNNNNNNNNNNNNNNNNNNNNNNNNNNNNNNNNNNNNNNNNNNNNNNNNNNNNNNNNNNNNNNNNNNNNNNNNNNNNNNNNNNNNNNNNNNNNNNNNNNNNNNNNNNNNNNNNNNNNNNNNNNNNNNNNNNNNNNNNNNNNNNNNNNNNNNNNNNNNNNNNNNNNNNNNNNNNNNNNNNNNNNNNNNNNNNNNNNNNNNNNNNNNNNNNNNNNNNNNNNNNNNNNNNNNNNNNNNNNNNNNNNNNNNNNNNNNNNNNNNNNNNNNNNNNNNNNNNNNNNNNNNNNNNNNNNNNNNNNNNNNNNNNNNNNNNNNNNNNNNNNNNNNNNNNNNNNNNNNNNNNNNNNNNNNNNNNNNNNNNNNNNNNNNNNNNNNNNNNNNNNNNNNNNNNNNNNNNNNNNNNNNNNNNNNNNNNNNNNNNNNNNNNNNNNNNNNNNNNNNNNNNNNNNNNNNNNNNNNNNNNNNNNNNNNNNNNNNNNNNNNNNNNNNNNNNNNNNNUCAUCAGUUUGUUCCCCAUUUCUUCUCUAGUCUGAGCCUAGCUCACUAUUCUAGCUAGACAUGGGUGUGGCUCGUAAUACCUGAUGACCAAAUGGAUCUACGGCACCAUCGAAUCUCAAACUUUUACUGCCAAAACUAUUGUUUUUCAUCCUGUAGUCCCUUUUAGAAUUACUAAACGUCCUUUUUUGGGCCGAGAUUUCCAGGAACGCUUUCUUGGGGUUUGUGUGCACGUAUUUGAAACCAAGCGUUCCUAAAAAUUAGAAGUCAUUCCAUCUUUAUUCCCCUAGAGCCUUACAGCAGUUCCUAAACUGCUCCAGUCGGCGCACGUUAUCAUUCUUGUUAGUUCUGAGUGAAUUCCCUCGGUAUGAUCAUUCUUUCAUCAGUUUGUUCCCCGUUUCUUCUCUAGUCUGAGCCUACCACACUAUUCUAGCUAGACAUGGGUGUGGCUCAUAACACCUUAUGACCAAACGGAUCUACGGCACCAUCGAAUCUCAAACUUUAACUGCCAAAACUAUUGUUUUUCAUCCUGUAGUCCUUUUUACAAUUACUAAACGUCCUUUUUUGGGCAGAUAUUUCCAGGAAUGCUUUAUCGGGGUUUGUGUGCACGUAUUUCAGACCAUACGGACCUAAAAAUUAGAAGUCAUUCCAUCUUUAUUUUCCUAUAGCCUUCCAGCAGUUCCUAAACCACUCCAGUCGGAGCACGUUAUCAUUCUUGUUAGUUCUGAGCGAAUUCCCUCGGUAUGAUCAUUCUUUCAUCAGUUUAUUCCCCGUUUCUUCUCUAGUCUAAGCCUAGCACACUAGUCUAGCUAGACAUGGGUGUGGCUCGUAACACCUGAUGACCAAACGGAUCUACGGCACCGUCAAAUCUCAAACUUUAACUGCCAAAACUAUUGUUUUUCAUCCUGUAGUCCCUUUUAGAAUAACUAAACGUCCUUUUUUGGGCCGAGAUUUUCGGGAACACUUUCUCGGGGUUUGUGUGCAUGUAUUUCAAACCAUAUGGACCUAAAAAUUAGAAGUCAUUCCAUCUUUAUUCCCCUAGAGCCUUCCAGCAGUUCCUAAACCGCUCCAGUCGGAGCAUGUUAUCAUUCUUGUUAGUUCUGAGUGAAUUCCCUCGGUACGAUCAUUCUUUCAUCAGUUUGUUCCCCAUUUCUUCUCUAGUCUGAGCCUAGCUCACUAUUCUAGCUAGACAUGGGUGUGGCUCAUAAUACCUGAUGACCAAACGGAUCUACGGCACUAUCGAAUCUCAAACUUUAACUGCCAAAACUAUUGUUUUUCAUCCUGUAGUCCCUUUUAGAAUUACUAAACGUCCUUUUUUGGGCCGAGAUUUCCAGGAACGCUUUCUUGGGGUUUGUGUGCACGUAUUUCAAACCAAGCGUUCCUAAAAAUUAGAAGUCAUUCCAUCUUUAUUCCCCUAGAGCCUUACAGCAGUUCCUAAACUGCUCCAGUCGGCGCACGUUAUCAUUCUUGUUAGUUCUGAGCGAAUUCCCUCGGUAUGAUCAUUCUUUCAUCAGUUUGUUCCCCAGUUCUUCUCUAGUUUGAGCCUAGCACACUAUUCUAGCUAGACAUGGGUGUGGGUCAUAACACCUGAUGACCAAACAGAUCGACGGCACCAUCGACUCUCAAACUUUAACUGCCAAAACUAUUGUUUUUCAUCCUGUAGUCCCUUUUAGAAUUACUAAACGUCCUUUUUUGGGCUGAGAUUUCCAAGAACGCUUUCUCGUGGUUUGUGUGCAUGUAUUUCAAACCAAACAUUCCUAAAAAUUAGAAGUCAUUCCAUCUUUAUUCCCCUAGAGCCUUCCAGUAGUUCCUAAACAGCUCCAGUCGGAGCACGUUAUCAUUCUUGUUAGUUCUGAGCGAAUUCCCUCGGUAUGAUCAUUCUUUCAUCAGUUUGUUCCCUGUUUCUUCUCUAGUAUGAGCCUCGCACACUAUUCUAGCUAUUAAUGGGUGUGGAUCGUAACACCUGAUGACCAAACGGAUCUACGGCACCAUCGAAUCUCAAACUUUAACUGCCAAAACUAUUGUUUUUCAUUCUGUAGUCCCUUUUAAAUUACUAAACGUCAUUUUUGGGCUGAGAUAUCCAGGAACGCUUUCUCGGGGUUUGUGUGCACGUAUUUCAAAUCAUACGGACCUAAAAAUUCGAAGUCAUUCCAUCUUUAUUCCCCUAGAGCCUUCCAGCAGUUCCUAAACCACUCCAGUCGGAACACGUUGUCAUUAUUGUUAGUUCUGAGUGAAUUCCCUCGGUAUGAUCAUUCUUUCAUCAGUUUUUUCCCCGUUUCGCCUAUCACACUAUUCUAGCUAGACAUGGGUGUGGCUCGUAACACCUGAUGACCAAACGGAUCUACGGCACCGUCGAAUCUCAAACUUUAACUGCCAAAACUAUUGUUUUUCAUCCUGUUGUCCCUUUAGAAUUACUAAAUGUCCUUUUUUGGGCCGAGAUUUCCAGGAACGCUUUCUCGGGGUUUGUGUGCAUGUAUUUCAAACCAUACGAACCUAAAAAUUAGGUCAUUCCAUCUUUAUUCCCCUAGAGCCUUCCAGCAGUUCCUAAACCGCUGCAGUCGGAGCACGUUAUCAUUCUUGUUUGUUCUGAGCGAAUUCCCUCAGUAUGAUCAUUCUUUCAUCAUUUUGUUCCCCGUUUCUUCUCUAGUCUAAGCCUAGCACACUAUUCUAGCUAGACAUGGGUGUGGCUCGUAACACCUGAUGACCAAACGGAUCUACGGCACCGUCGAAUCUCAAACUUUAACUGCCAAAACUAUUGUUUUUCAUCCUAUAGUCCCUUUUAAAUUUACUAAACGUCCUUUUUUGGGCUGAGAUUUCCAGGAACGCUUUCGUGCGGUUUGUGUGCAACUAUUUCAAAUCAUACAGACCUAUAAAUUAGAAGUCAUUUCAUCUUUAUUCCCCUAGAGCCUUCGAGCGGUUCCUAAACCACUCCAGUCGGAGCAUGUUAUCAUUCUUGUUAGUUCUGAGUGAAUUCCCUCGGUAUGAUCAUUCUUUCAUCAGUUUGUUCCCCAUUUCUUCUCUAGUCUGAGCCUAGCACACUACUCUAGCUAGACAUGGGUUUGGCUCGUAACACCUGAUAACCAAACGGGUCUACGACACCAUCGAAUCUCAAACUUUUUUGGGCCGAGAUUUCCAGGAACGCUUUCUCGGGGUUUGCGUGCACGUAUUUCAAGUCACGCGGACCUAAAAAUUAGAAGUCAUUCCAUAUUUAUUCCCCUAGAGCCUUCCAGCAGUUCCCAAACCGCUCCAGUCGGAGCAUGUUAUCAUUCUUGUUAGUUCUGAGCGAAUUCCCUCGGUAUGAUCAUUCUUUCAUCAGUUUGUUCCCUGUUUCUUCUCUAGACUGAGCCUGACACACUAUUCUAGCUAGACAUGGGUGUGGCUCGUGACACCUGAUGACCAAAUGGAUCUACGGCACCGUCGAAUCUCAAACUUUAACUGCCAAAACUAUUGUUUUUCAUCCUGUAGUCCCUUUUAGAAUUACGAAACGUCCUUUUUUGGGCCAAGAUUUCGAGGAAUGCUUUCUCGGGGUUUGUGUGCACGUAUUUCAAACCAUACGGACCUAAAAAUUAGAAGUCAUUCCAUCUUUAUUCCCCUAGAGCCUUCCAGCAGUUCCUAAACUGCUCUAUUUGGAGCAUGUUAUCAUUCUUGUUAGUUCUGAGUGAAUUCCCUCGGUAUGAUCAUUCUUUCAUCAGUUUGUUCCCCGUUUCUUCUCUAGUCUGAGCCUAGCACACUAUUCUAGCUAUUAAUGGGUGUGGAUCGUAACACCUGAUGACCAAACGGAUCUACGGCACCAUCGAAUCUCAAACUUUAACUGCCAAAACUAUUGUUUUUCAUUCUGUAGUCCCUUUUCGAAUUAUUAAACGUCCUUUUUUGGGUCGAGAUUUCCAGGAACGCUUUCUUGGGGUUUGUGUGCAUGUAUUUCAAAUCAUACGGACCUAAAAAUUAGAAGGCAUUCCAUCUUUAUUCCCCUAGAGCCUUCCAGCAGUUCCUAAACCGCUCCAGUCGGAGCAUGUUAUCAUUCUUGUUAGUUUUGAGCGAAUUCCCUCGGUAUGAUCAUUCUAUCAUCUGUUUGUUCCCUGUUUCUUCGCUAGCCUAAGCCUGACACACUAUUCUAGCUAGACAUGGGUGUGGCUCGUGACACCUAAUGACCAAACGGAUCUACGGCACCCUCGAAUCUCAAACUUUAACUACCAAAACUAUUGUUUUUCAUUCUGUAGUCCCUUUUAGAUUACUAAACAUCCUUUUUUGGGCUGAGAUUUCCAGGAACGCUUUCUCGAGGUUUGUGUGCAUGUAUUUCAAACCAAACGUUCCUAAAAUUAGAAGUCAUUCCAUCUUUAUUCCCCUAGAGCCUUCUAGCAGUUCCUAAACAGCUCUAGUCGGAGCAUGUUAUCAUUCUUGUUAAUUCUGAGCGAAUUCCCUCCGUAUGAUCAUUCUUUCAUCAGUUUGUUCUCUGUUUCUGCUCUAGUCUGAGCCUAGCACACUAUUCUAGCUAUUAAUGGGUGUGUAUCGUAACACCUAAUGACCAAACGGAUCUACGACACCAUCGAAUCUCAAACUUUAACUGCCAAAACUAUUGUUUUUCAUCCUGUAGUCCCUUUUCGAAUUAUUAAACGUCCUUUUUUGGGCCGAGAUUUCCAGGAACGCUUUCUCGGGGUUUGUGUGGAUGUAUUUCAAAUCAUACGGACCUAAAAAUUAGAAGGCAUUCCAUCUUUAUUCCCCUAGAGCCUUCCAGCAGUUCCUAAACCGCUCCAGUCGGAGCAUGUUAUCAUUCUUGUUAGUUCUGAGCGAAUUCCCUCGGUAUGAUCAUUCUAUCAUCAGUUUGUUCCCUGUUUCUUCGCUAGCCUAAGCCUGACACACUAUUCUAGCUACACAUGGGUGUGGCUCGUGACACCUAAUGACCAAACAGAUCUACGGCACCGUCGAAUCUCAAACUUUAACUACCAAAACUAUUGUUUUUCAUUCUGUAGUCCCUUUUAAAUUACUAAACGUCAUUUUUUGGGCCGAGAUUUCUAGGAACGCUUUCUCAGGGUUUGUGUGCAUGUAUUUCAAGUCAUAUGGACCUAAAAAUUAGAAUCCAUUCCAUCUUUAUUCCCCUAGAGCCUUCCAGCAGUUCCUAAACCGCUCCAGUCGGAGCACAUUAUCAUUAUUGUUAGUUCUGAGUGAAUUCCCUCGGUAUGAUCAUUCUUUCAUCAGUUUGUUCCCCGUUUCUGCUCUAGUCUGAGCUUAACACACUAUUCUAGCUAGACAUGGGUGUGGCUCGUAACACCUGAUGACCAAACGGAUCUACGAUACCGUCGAAUCUCAAACUUUAACUACGAAAACUAUUGUUUUUCAUUCUAUAGUCCCUUUUAGAAUUACUAAACGUCCUUUUUUGGGCCGAGAUUUCCAGGAACGCUUUCUCGGGGUUUGUGUGCACGUAUUUCAAACAAUACGGACCUAAAAAUUAGAAUUCAUUCCAUCUUUAUUCCCCUAGAGCCUUCCGGCAGUUCCUAAACCGCUCAAGUCGGAGCACUUUAUCAUUCUUGUUAGUUCUCAGCGAAUUCCCUCGGUAUGAUCAUUCUUUCAUCAGUUUGUUCCCCAUUUCUUCUCUAGCCUGAGCCUAACACACUAUUCUAGCUACAAAUGGGUGUGGCUCGUCACACCCGAUGACCAAACGGAUCUACGGCACCGUUGAAUCUCAAACUUUAACUGCGAAAACUAUUGUUUUUCAUCCUGUAGUCCUUUUUAGAAUUACUAAACGUCCUUUUUUGGGACGAGAUUUCCGGGAACGCUUUCUCGAGGUUUGUGUGCGCGUAUUUCAAACCAUACGAACCUUAAAAUUAGAAUUCAUUCCAUCUUUAUUCCCCUAGAGCCUUCCAGCAGUUCCUAAACCGCUCCAGUCGGAGCACGUUAUCAUUCUUGUUAGUUCUGAGCGAAUUCCCUCGGUAUGAUCAUUCUUUCAUCAGUUUGUUCCUUGUUGCUUCUCUAGCCUGAGCCUGAUACACUAUUCUAGCUAGACAUGGGUGUGGCUCGUGACACCUGAUAACCAAACGGAUCUACAGCACCGUCGAAUCUCAAACUUUAACUACCAAAACUAUUGUUUUCAUUCUGUAGUCCCUUUUAAAUUACUAAACGUCAUUUUUUCGGCCGAGAUUUCCAGGAACGCUUUCUUGGGGUUUGUGUGCAUGUAUUUCAAAUCAUAAGGACCUAAAAAUUAGAAUCCAUUCCAUCUUUAUUUCCCUAGAGCCUUCCAGCAGUUCCUAAACCGCUCCAGUCAGAGCAUGUUAUCAUUAUUGUUAGUUCUGAGUGAAUUCCCUCGGUAUGAUCAUUAUUUCAUCAGUUUGUUCCCCGUUUCUUCUCUAGUCUGAGCCUAACACACUAUUCUAGCUAGACAUGGGUGUGGCUCGUAACACCCGAUGACCAAACGGAUCUACGGCACCGUCGAAUCUCAAACUUUAACUGCGAAAACUAUUGUUUUUCAUCCUUUAGUCCUUUUUAGAAUUACUAAACGUCCUUUUUUGGGACGAGAUUUCCAGGAACGCUUUCUCGGGGUUUGUGUGCGCGUAUUUAAAACCAUACGAACCUUAAAAUUAGAAUUCAUUCCAUCUUUAUUCCCCUAGAGCCUUCCAGUAGUUCCUAAACCGCUCCAGUCGGAGCACCUUAUCAUUCUUGUUAGUUCUGAGCAAAUUCCCUCGGUAUGAUCAUUCUUUCAUCAGUUUGAUCCCCGUUUCUUCUCUAGUCUGAGCCUAGCACACUAUUCUAGCUAUUAAUGGGUGUGGAUCGUAACACCUAAUGACCAAACGGAUCUACGUCACCAUCGAAUCUCAAACUUUAACUACCAAAACUAUUGUUUUUCAUCCUGUAGUCCCUUAAAAUUAGAAUUCAUUCCAUCUUUAUUCCCCUAGAGCCUUCCAGUAGUUCCUAAACCGCUCCAGUCGGAGCACAUUAUCAUUCUUGUUUGUUCUAAGCGAAUUCCCUCAGUAUGAUCAUUCUUUCAUCAUUUUGUUCCCGGUUUCUUCUCUAGUCUGAGUCUAGCACACUAUUCUAGCUAGACAUGGGUGUGGCUCGUAACACCUGAUGACCAAACGGAUCUACGGCAUCGUCGAAUCUCAAACUUUAAUUGCCAAAACUAUUGUUUUUCAUCCUGUAGUCUCUUUUAAAUUUACUAAACGUCCUUUUUUGGGCUGAGAUUUCCUGGAACGCUUUCGUGCGGUUUGUGUGCAAGUAUUUCAAAUCAUACGGACCUAUAAAUUAGAAGUCAUUUCAUCUUUAUUCCCCUAGAGCCUUUGAGCGGUUCCUAAACCGCUCUAGUCGGAGCAUGUUAUCAUUCUUGUUAGUUCUGAGUGAAUUCCCUCGGUAUGAUAAUUCUUUCAUCAGUUUGUUCCCCGUUUCUUCUCUAGUCUGAGCCUAGCACACUACUCUAGCUAGACAUGGGUUUGGCUCGUAACACCUGAUAACCAAACGGGUCUACGACACCAUCGAAUCUCAAACUUUUUUGGGCCGAGAUUUCCAGGAACGCUUUCUCGGGGUUUGUGUGCACGUAUUUCAAAUCAUGCGGACCUAAAAAUUAGAAGUCAUUCCAUAUUUAUUCCCCUAGAGCCUUCCAGCAGUUCCUAAACCGCUCCAGUCCGAGCAUGUUAUCAUUCUUGUUAGUUCUCAGGGAAUUCCCUCGGUAUGAUCAUUCUUUCAUCAGUUUGUUCCCCGUUUUUUCUCUAGCCUGAGCCUAACACACUAUUCUAGCUACACAUGGGUGUCGCUCGUAACACCUGAUGACCGAACAGAUCUACGGCACCAUCGAAUCUCAAACUUUAACUGCCAAAACUAUUGUUUUUCAUCCUGUAGUCCCUUUUAGAAUUACUAAACGUCUUUUUUUGGGCCGAGAUUUCCAGGAACGCUUUCUCGGGGUUUGUGUGGACGUAUUUCAAACCAUACGGACCUAAAAAUUAGAAGUCAUUCCAUCUUUAUUCCCCUAGAGCUUUCCAGCAGUUGCUAAACUGCUCUAGUCGGAGCAUGUUAUCAUUCUUGUUAGUUCUGAGUGAAUUCCCUCGGUAUGAUCAUUCUUUCAUCAGUUUGUUCCCCGUUUCUUCUCUAGUCUGAGCCUAGCACACUAUUCUAGAUAGACAUGGGUGUGGGUCAUAACACCUAAUGACCAAACGGAUCUACGGCACCCUCGAAUCUCAAACUUUAACUGCCAAAACUAUUGUUUUUCAUCUUGUAGUCCCUUUUAGAAUUACUAAACGUCCUUUUUUGGGUCGAGAUUUCCAGGAACGCUUUCUCGGGAUUUGUGUGCAUGUAUUUCAAACCAAAUGUUCCUACAAAUUAGAAGUCAUUCCAUAUUUAUUCCCCUAGAGCCUGCCAGCAGUUCCUAAACACCUCUAGUCGGAGCACGUUAUCAUUCUUGUUAGUUCUGAGCGAAUUCCCUCGGUAUGAUCAUUCUUUCAUCAGUUUGUUCUGCGUUUCUUCUCUAGUCUGAGCCUAGCACAUUAUUCUAGCUAUUAAUGGGUGUGGAUCGUAACACCUAAUGACCAAACGGAUCUACGGCACCAUCGAAUCACAAACUUUAACUGCCAAAACUAUUGUUUUUCAUCCUGUAGUCCCUUUUUGAAUUAUUAAACGUCCUUUUUUGGGCCAAGAUUUCCAGGAAUGCUUUCUCGGGGUUUGUGUGCAUGUAUUUCAAAUCAUACGGACCUAAAAAUUAGAAGGCAUUCCAUCUUUAUUCCCCUAGAGCCUUCCAGCAGUUCCUAAACCGCUCCAGUCGGAGCAUGUUAUCAUUCUUGUUAGUUCUGAGCGAAUUCCCUUGGUAUGAUCAUUCUUUCAUCAGUUUGUUCCCUGUUUCUUCUCUAGCCUGAGCCUGACACACUAUUCUAGCUAGACAUGGGUGUGGCUCGUGACACCUAAUGACCAAACGGAUCUACGGCACCGUCGAAUCUCAAACUUUAACUACCGAAACUAUUGUUUUUCAUUCUAUAGUCCCUUUUAAAUUACUAAACGUCAUUUUUUGGGCCGUGAUUUCCAGGAACGCUUUCUCGGGGUUUGUGUGCAUGUAUUUCAAGUCAUACGGACCUAAAAAUUAGAAUCCAUUCCAUAUUUAUUCCCCUAGAGCCUUCCAGCAGUUCCUAAACCGCUCCAAUUGGAGCACGUUAUCAUUAUUGUUAGUUCUGAGUGAAUUCCCUCGGUAUGAUCAUUCUUUCAUCAGUUUGUUCCCCAUUUCUUCUCUAGUCUGAGCCUAACACACUAUUCUAGCUAGACAUGGGUGUGGGUCGUAACACCUGAUGACCAAAAGGAUCUACGGCACCGUCGAAUCUCAAACUUUAACUACGAAAACUAUUGUUUUUCAUUCUAUAGUCCCUUUUAGAAUUACUAAACGUCCUUUUUUGGGCCGAGACUUCCAGGAACGCUUUCUCGGGGUUUGUGUGCGCGUAUUUCAAACAAUACAGACCUAAAUAUUAGAAUUCAUUCCAUCUUUAUUCCCCUAGAGCCUUCCAGCAGUUCCUAAACUGCUCCAGUCGGAGCACGUUAUCAUUCUUGUUAGUUCUCAGGGAAUUCCCUCGGUAUGAUCAUUCUUUCAUCAGUUUGUUCCCCGUUUCUUCUCUAGCCCGAGCCUAACACACUAUUCUAGCUACACAUGGGUGUGGCUCAUAACACCUGAUGACCAAACGGAUCUACGGCACCGUCGAAUCUCAAACUUUAACUGCCAAAACUAUUGUUUUUCAUCCUGUAGUCCCUUGUAGAAUUACUAAACGUCCUUUUUUGGGCCGAGAUUUCGAGGAACGCUUUGUCGGGGUCUGUGUGCAUGUAUUUCAAACCAUACGGACCUAAAAAUUAGAAUUCAUUCUAUCUUUGUUCCCCUAGAGCCUUCCAGCAGUUCCUAAACCGCUCUAGUCAGAGCAUGUUAUCAUUCUUGUUAGUUCUGAGCGAAUUCCCUCGGUAUGAUCAUUCUUUCAUCAGUUUGUUCCCUAUUUCUUCUCUAGCCUGAGCCUGACACACUAUUCUAGCUAGACAUGGGUGUGGCUCGUGACACCUGAUGACCAAACGGAUCUACGACACCGUCGAAUCUCAAACUUUAACUACUAAAACUAUUGUUUUUCAUUCUAUAGUCCCUUUUAAAUUACUAAACGUCAUUUUUUUGUUCGAGAUUUGCAGGAACGCUUUCUUGGGGUUUGUGUGCAUGUAUUUCAAAUCAUACGGACCUAAAAAUUAGAAUCCAUUCCAUCUUUAUUCCCCUAGAGCCUUCCAGCAGUUCGUUAACCGCUCCAGUCGGAGCACGUUAUCAUUAUUGUUAGUUCUGAGUGAAUUCCCUCGGUAUGAUCAUUCUUUGAUCAGUUUGUUCCUCGUUUCUUCUCUAGUCUAAGCCUAACACACUAUUCUAGCUAGACAUGGGUGUGGCUCGUAACACCCGAUGACCAAACGGAUCUACGGCACCGUCGAAUCUCAAACUUUAACUGCGAAAACUAUUGUUUUUCAUCCCGUAGUCCUUUUUAGAAUUACUAAACAUCCUUUUUUGGGACGAGAUUUCCAGGAACGCUUUCUCGGGGUUUGUGUGCGCGUGUUUCAAACCAUACGGACCUUAAAAUUAGAAUUCAUUCCAUCUUUAUUCCCCUAGAGCCUUCCAGCAGUUCCUAAACCGCUCCAGUCGGAGCACGUUAUCAUUCUUGUUAGUUCUGAGCAAAUUCCCUCGGUAUGAUCAUUCUUUCAUCAGUUUGUUCCCUGUUUCUUCUCUAGUAUGAGCCUAGCACACUAUUCUAGCUAUUAAUGGGUGUGUAUCGUGACACCUAAUGACCAAACGGAUCUACGGCACCAUCGAAUAUCAAACUUUAACUGCCAAAACUAUUGUUUUUCAUACUGUAGUCCCUUUUACAAUUAUUGAACGUCCCUUUUUGGGCCGAUAUUUCUAGGAACGCUUUCUCGGGGUUUGUGUGCAUGUAUUUCAAACCAAACGUUCCUUAAAAUUUGAAAGCAUUCCAUGUUUAUUCCCCUAGAGCCUUCCAGCAGUUCCUAAACCGCUCCAGUCGGAGCACGUUAUCAUUCUUGUCAGUUCUGAGCGAAUUCCCUCGGUAUGAUCAUUUUUUCAUCAGUUUGUUCCCUAUUUCUUCACUAGUCUGAGCCUCGCACACUAUUCUAGCUAUUAAUGGGUGUGGAUCGUAACACCUGAUGACCAAACGGAUCUACGGCACCGUCGAAUCUCAAACUUUAAUUGCCAAAACUAUUGUUUUUCAUUCUGUAGUCCCUUUUAAAUUACUAAACGUCAUUUUUUGGGCUGAGAUAUCCAACAACGCUUUCUCGGGGUUUGUGUGCAUGUAUUUCAAACCAAACGUUCCUAAAAAUUAGAAGUCAUUCCAUCUUUAUUCCCCUAGAGCCUUCCAGCAGUUCCUAAACAGCUCUAGACGGAGCACGUUAUCAUUCUUGUUAGUUCUGAGCGAAUUCCCUCGGUAUGAUCAUUCUUUCAUCAGUUUGUUCUGCAUUCUUCUCUAGUCUGAGCCUCGCACACUAUUCUAGCUAUCAAUGGGUGUGGAUCAUAACACUAAUGACCAAACGGAUCUACGACACCAUCGAAUCUCAAACUUUAACAGCCAAAACUAUUGUUUUUCAUCCUGUAGUCCCUUUUAGAAUUACUAAACGUCCUUUUUUGGGCCGAGAUUUCCAGGAACGCUUUCUCGGGGUUUGUGUGCAUGUAUUUCAAACCAUAUGGACCUAAAAAUUAGAAGUCAUUCCAUCUUUAUUCCCCUAGAGCCUUCCAGCAGUUCCUAAACUGCUCUAGUCGGAGCAUGUUAUCAUUCUUGUUAGUUCUGAGUGAAUUCCCUCGGUAUGAUCAUUCUUUCAUCAGUUUGUUCCCCAUUUCUUCGCUAGUCUGAGCCUAGCACACUAUUCUAGAUAGACAUGGGUGUGGGUCUUAACACCUGAUGACCAAACGGAUCUACGGCACCCUCGAAUCUGAAACUUUAACUGCCAAAACUAUUGUUUUUCAUCUUGUAGUCCCUUUUAGAAUUACUAAACGUCCUUUUUUGGGACGAGAUUUCCAGAAUGCUUUCUCGGGGUUUGUGUGCAUGUAUUUCAAACCAAACGUUCCUAAAAAUUAAAAGUCAUUCCAUCUUUAUUCCCCUAGAGCCUUCCAGCAGUUCCUAAACAGCUCUAGUCGGAGCAUGUUAUCAUUCUUGUUAGUUCUGAGUGAAUUCCCUCGGUAUGAUCAUUCUUUCAUCAGUUUGUUCCCCGUUUCUUCUCUAGUCUGAGCCUAGCACACUACUCUAGCUAGACAUGGGUUUGGCUCGUAACACCUGAUAACCAAACGGGUCUACGACACCAUCGAAUCUCAAACUUUUUUGGGCCGAGAUUUCCAGGAACGCUUUCUCGNNNNNNNNNNUCGCUAGCCUAAGCCUGACACACUAUUCUAGCUACACAUGGGUGUGGCUCGUGACACCUAAUGACCAAACAGAUCUACGGCACCGUCGAAUCUCAAACUUUAACUACCAAAACUAUUGUUUUUCAUUCUGUAGUCCCUUUUAAAUUACUAAACGUCAUUUUUUGGGCCGAGAUUUCUAGGAACGCUUUCUCAGGGUUUGUGUGCAUGUAUUUCAAGUCAUAUGGACCUAAAAAUUAGAAUCCAUUCCAUCUUUAUUCCCCUAGAGCCUUCCAGCAGUUCCUAAACCGCUCCAGUCGGAGCACAUUAUCAUUAUUGUUAGUUCUGAGUGAAUUCCCUCGGUAUGAUCAUUCUUUCAUCAGUUUGUUCCCCGUUUCUGCUCUAGUCUGAGCUUAACACACUAUUCUAGCUAGACAUGGGUGUGGCUCGUAACACCUGAUGACCAAACGGAUCUACGAUACCGUCGAAUCUCAAACUUUAACUACGAAAACUAUUGUUUUUCAUUCUAUAGUCCCUUUUAGAAUUACUAAACGUCCUUUUUUGGGCCGAGAUUUCCAGGAACGCUUUCUCGGGGUUUGUGUGCACGUAUUUCAAACAAUACGGACCUAAAAAUUAGAAUUCAUUCCAUCUUUAUUCCCCUAGAGCCUUCCGGCAGUUCCUAAACCGCUCAAGUCGGAGCACUUUAUCAUUCUUGUUAGUUCUCAGCGAAUUCCCUCGGUAUGAUCAUUCUUUCAUCAGUUUGUUCCCCAUUUCUUCUCUAGCCUGAGCCUAACACACUAUUCUAGCUACAAAUGGGUGUGGCUCGUCACACCCGAUGACCAAACGGAUCUACGGCACCGUUGAAUCUCAAACUUUAACUGCGAAAACUAUUGUUUUUCAUCCUGUAGUCCUUUUUAGAAUUACUAAACGUCCUUUUUUGGGACGAGAUUUCCGGGAACGCUUUCUCGAGGUUUGUGUGCGCGUAUUUCAAACCAUACGAACCUUAAAAUUAGAAUUCAUUCCAUCUUUAUUCCCCUAGAGCCUUCCAGCAGUUCCUAAACCGCUCCAGUCGGAGCACGUUAUCAUUCUUGUUAGUUCUGAGCGAAUUCCCUCGGUAUGAUCAUUCUUUCAUCAGUUUGUUCCUUGUUGCUUCUCUAGCCUGAGCCUGAUACACUAUUCUAGCUAGACAUGGGUGUGGCUCGUGACACCUGAUAACCAAACGGAUCUACAGCACCGUCGAAUCUCAAACUUUAACUACCAAAACUAUUGUUUUCAUUCUGUAGUCCCUUUUAAAUUACUAAACGUCAUUUUUUCGGCCGAGAUUUCCAGGAACGCUUUCUUGGGGUUUGUGUGCAUGUAUUUCAAAUCAUAAGGACCUAAAAAUUAGAAUCCAUUCCAUCUUUAUUUCCCUAGAGCCUUCCAGCAGUUCCUAAACCGCUCCAGUCAGAGCAUGUUAUCAUUAUUGUUAGUUCUGAGUGAAUUCCCUCGGUAUGAUCAUUAUUUCAUCAGUUUGUUCCCCGUUUCUUCUCUAGUCUGAGCCUAACACACUAUUCUAGCUAGACAUGGGUGUGGCUCGUAACACCCGAUGACCAAACGGAUCUACGGCACCGUCGAAUCUCAAACUUUAACUGCGAAAACUAUUGUUUUUCAUCCUUUAGUCCUUUUUAGAAUUACUAAACGUCCUUUUUUGGGACGAGAUUUCCAGGAACGCUUUCUCGGGGUUUGUGUGCGCGUAUUUAAAACCAUACGAACCUUAAAAUUAGAAUUCAUUCCAUCUUUAUUCCCCUAGAGCCUUCCAGUAGUUCCUAAACCGCUCCAGUCGGAGCACCUUAUCAUUCUUGUUAGUUCUGAGCAAAUUCCCUCGGUAUGAUCAUUCUUUCAUCAGUUUGAUCCCCGUUUCUUCUCUAGUCUGAGCCUAGCACACUAUUCUAGCUAUUAAUGGGUGUGGAUCGUAACACCUAAUGACCAAACGGAUCUACGUCACCAUCGAAUCUCAAACUUUAACUACCAAAACUAUUGUUUUUCAUCCUGUAGUCCCUUAAAAUUAGAAUUCAUUCCAUCUUUAUUCCCCUAGAGCCUUCCAGUAGUUCCUAAACCGCUCCAGUCGGAGCACAUUAUCAUUCUUGUUUGUUCUAAGCGAAUUCCCUCAGUAUGAUCAUUCUUUCAUCAUUUUGUUCCCGGUUUCUUCUCUAGUCUGAGUCUAGCACACUAUUCUAGCUAGACAUGGGUGUGGCUCGUAACACCUGAUGACCAAACGGAUCUACGGCAUCGUCGAAUCUCAAACUUUAAUUGCCAAAACUAUUGUUUUUCAUCCUGUAGUCUCUUUUAAAUUUACUAAACGUCCUUUUUUGGGCUGAGAUUUCCUGGAACGCUUUCGUGCGGUUUGUGUGCAAGUAUUUCAAAUCAUACGGACCUAUAAAUUAGAAGUCAUUUCAUCUUUAUUCCCCUAGAGCCUUUGAGCGGUUCCUAAACCGCUCUAGUCGGAGCAUGUUAUCAUUCUUGUUAGUUCUGAGUGAAUUCCCUCGGUAUGAUAAUUCUUUCAUCAGUUUGUUCCCCGUUUCUUCUCUAGUCUGAGCCUAGCACACUACUCUAGCUAGACAUGGGUUUGGCUCGUAACACCUGAUAACCAAACGGGUCUACGACACCAUCGAAUCUCAAACUUUUUUGGGCCGAGAUUUCCAGGAACGCUUUCUCGGGGUUUGUGUGCACGUAUUUCAAAUCAUGCGGACCUAAAAAUUAGAAGUCAUUCCAUAUUUAUUCCCCUAGAGCCUUCCAGCAGUUCCUAAAUCGCUCUAGUCCGAGCAUGUUAUCAUUCUUGUUAGUUCUGAGCGAAUUCCCUCGCUAUGAUCAUUCUUUCAUCAGUUUGUUCUGCGUUUCUUCUCUAGUCUGAGCCUAGCACACUAUUCUAGCUAUUAAUGGGUGUGGAUCGUAACACAUAAUGACCAAACGGAUCUACGGUACCUUCGAAUCUCAAACUUUAACUGCCAAAACUAUUGUUUUUCAUCCUGUAGUCCCUUUUCGAAUUAUUAAACGUCCUCUUUUGGGCCGAGAUUUCUAGGAACGCUUUCUAGGGGUUGGUGUGCAUGUAUUUCAAAUCAUACGGACCUAAAAAUUAGAAGGCAUUUCAUCUUUAUUCCCCUAGAGCCUUCCAACAGUUCCUAAGCCGCUCCAGUCGGAGCAUGUUAUCAUUCUUGUUAGUUCUGAGCGAAUUCCCUCGGUAUGAUCAUUCUUUCAUUAGUUUGUUCCCUAUUUCUUCUCUAGCCUUAGCCUGACACACUAUUCUAGCUAGAAAUGGGUGUGUCUCGUGACACCUAAUGACCAAACGGAUCUACGGCACCGUCGAAUCUCAAACUUUAACUACCAAAACUAUUAUUUUUCAUUCUGUAGUCCCUUUGAAAUUACUAAAUGUCAUUUUUUGGGCCGAGAUUUCCAGGAACGCUUUCUCGGGGUUUGUGUGCAUGUAUUUCAAGUCAUACGGACCUAAAAAUUAAAAUCCAUUCCAUCUUUAUUCCCCUAGAGCCUUCCAGCAGUUCCUAAACCGCUCCAGUCGGAGCAUGUUAUCAUUAUUGUUAGUGCUGAGUGAAUUCCCUCGGUAUGAUCAUUCUUUCAUCAGUUUGGUCCCUGUUUCUUCUCUAGUCUGAGCCUAACACACUAUUCUAGCUAGACAUGGGUGUGGCUCGUAACACCUGAUGACCAAACGGAUCUACGGCACCGUCGAAUCUCAAACUUUAACGACGAAAACUAUUGUUUUUCAUUCUAUAAUCCCUUUUAGAAUUACUAAACGUCCUUUUUUGGGACGAGAUUUCCAGGAACGCUUUCUCCGGGUUUGUGUGUGAGUAUUUCAAACAAUACGGACCUAAAAAUUUGAAUUCAUUCCAUCUUUAUUGCCCUAGAGCCUUCCAGCAGUUCCGAAACCGCUCCAGUCGGAGCACGUUAUCAUUCUUGUUAGUUCUCAGGGAAUUCCCUUGGUAUGAUCAUUCUUUCAUCAGUUUGUUCCCCGUUUCUUCUCUAGCCUGAGCCUAACACACUAUUCUAGCUACACAUGGGUGUGGCUCCUAACACCUGAUGACCAAACGGAUCUAUGGCACCGUCGAAUCUCAAACUUUAACUGCCAAAACUAUUGUUUUUCAUCCUGUAGUCCCUUGUAGAAUUACUAAACGUCCUUUUUUGGGUCUAGAUUUCGAGGAACACUUUGCCGGGGUUUGUGUGCACGUAUUUCAAACCAUACGGACCUAAAAGUUAGAAGUCAUUCAGUCUUUGUUCCCCUAGAGCCUUCCAGCAGUUCCUAAACCGCUCCAGUCGGAGCAUGUGAUCGUUCUUGUUAGUUCUGAGCGAAUUCCCUCGUUAUGAUCAUUCUUUCAUCAGUUUGUUCCCUGUUUCUUCUCUAUCCUGAGCCUGACACACUAUUCUAGCUAGACAUGGGUGUGGCUCGUGACACCUGAUGACCAAACGGAUCUACGGCACCGUCGAAUCUCAAACUUUAACUACCAAAACUAUUGUUUUUCAUUCUGUAGUCCCUUUUAAAUUACUAAACAUCAUUUUUUGGACAGAGAUUUCGAGGAAUGCUUUCUCGGGGUUUGUGUGCAUGUAUUUCAAAUCAUACGGGCCUAAAAAUUAGAAUCCAUUCCAUCUUUAUUCCCCUGGAGCCUUCCAGCAGUUCCUAAACCGCUCCAGUCGGAGCAUGUUAUCAUUAUUGUUAGUUCUGAGUGAAUUCCCUCGGUAUGAUCAUUCUUUCAUCAGUUUGCUCCCCGUUUCUUCUCUAGUCUGAGCCUAACACACUAUUCUAGCUAGACAUGGGUGUGGCUCGUAACACCUGAUGACCAAACGGAUCUACGGCACCCUCGAAUCUCAAACUUUAACUGCCAAAACUAUUGUUUUUCAUCUUGUAGUCCCUUUUAGAAUUACUAAACAUCCUUUUUUGGGCCGAGAUUUCCAGGAACGCUUUCUCGGGGUUUGUGUGCAUGUAUUUCAAACCAAACGUUCCUAAAAAUUAGAAGGCAUUCCAUCUUUAUUCCCCUAGAGCCUUCCAGAAGUUCCUAAACAGCUCUAGUCGGAGCAUGUUAUCAUUCUUGUUAUUUCUGAGUGAAUUCCCUCGGUAUGAUCAUUCUUUCAUCAGCAUCAGUUUGUUUUGCGUUUCUUCUCUAGUCUGAGCCUAGCACACUAUUCUAGCUAUUAAUGGGUGUGGAUCGUAACACCUAAUGACCAAACGGAUCUACGGCACCAUCGAAUCUCAAACUUUAACUGCCAAAACUAUUGUUUUUCAUCCUGUAGUCCCUUUCCGAAUUAUUAAACGUUCUUUUUUGGGCCGAGAUUUCCAGGAACGCUUUCUCGGAGUUUGUGUGCAUGUAUUUCAAAUCAUACGGACCUAAAAAUUAGAAGGCGUUCCAUCUUUAUUCCCCUAGAGCCUUCCAGCAGUUCCUAAACCGCUCCAGUCGGAGCAUGUUAUCAUUCUUGUUAGUUCUGAGCGAAUUCCCUCGGUAUGAUCAUUCUUUCAUUAGUUUGUUCCCUGUUUCUUCGCUAGCCUGAGCCCGACAUACUAUUCUAGCUAGACAUGGGUGUGGCUCGUGACACCUAAUAACCAAACGGAUCUACGGCACCGUCGAAUCUCAAACUUUAACUGCAAAAACUAUUGUUUUUCAUUCUGUAGUCCCUUUUCAAUUACUAAACAUCCUUUUUUGGGCCGAGAUUUCCAGGAACGCUUUCUCGGGGUUUGUGUGCAUGUAUUUCAAGUCAUACAGACCUAAAAAUUAGAAUCCAUUCCAUCUUUAUUCCCCUAGAGCCUUCCAGCAGUUCCUAAACCGCUCCAGUCGGAGCACGUUAUCAUUAUUGUUAGUUCUGAGUGAAUUCCCUCGGUAUUAUCAUUCUUUCAUCAGUAUGUUCCCCGUUUCUUCUCUAGUCUGAGCCUAACACACUAGUCUAGCUAGACAUGGGUGUGGCUCGUAACACCUGAUGACCAAACGGAUCUACGGCACCAUCGAAUCUCAAACUUUAACUACGAAAACUAUUGUUUUUCAUUCUAUAGUCCCUUUUAGAAUUACUAAACGUCCUUUUUUGGCCCGAGAUUUCCAGGAACGCUUUCUCGGGGUUUGUGUGCGCGUAUUUCAAACAAUACGGACCUAAAAAUUAGAAUUCAUUCCAUCUUUAUUCCCCUAGAGCCCUCCAGUAGUUCCUAAACCGCUCCAGUCGGAGCACGUUAUCAUUCUUGUUAGUUCUGAGGGAAUUCCCUCGGUAUGAUCAUUCUUUCAUCAGUUUGUUCCCUGUUUCUUCUCUAGCCUGAGCCUAACACACUAUUCUAGCUACACAUGGGUGUGGCUCCUAACACCUGAUGACCAAACGGAUAUACGGCACCGUCGAAUCUCAAACUUUAACUGCCAAAACUAUUGUUUUUCAUCCUGUAGUCCCUUGUAGAAUUACUAAACAUCCUUUUUGGGCCGUGAUUUCGAGGAAUGCUUUGUCGGGUUUGUGUGCACGUAUUUCAAACCAUACGGACCAAAAAAUUAUAAGUCAUUCCAUCUUUGUUCCCCUAGAGCCUUCCAUCAGUUCCUAAACCGCUCCAGUCGGAGUAUGUUAUCAUUCUUGUUAGUUCUGAGCGAAUUCCCUCGGUAUGAUCAUGCUUUCAUCAGUUUGUUCCCUGUUUCUUCUCUAGCCUGAGCCUGACACACUAUUCUAGCUAGACAUGGGUGUGGCUCGUGAGACCUGAUGACCUAACGGAUCUACGGCACCGUCGAAUCUCAAACUUUAACUACCAAACCUAUUGUUUUUCAUUCUGUAGUCCCUUUUAAAUUACUAAACGUCAUUUUUUUGGCCGAGAUUUCCAGGAACGCUUUCUUGGGGUUUGUGUGCAUGUAUUUCAAAUCAUACGGACCUAAAAAUUAGAAUCCAUUCCAUCUUUAUUCCCCUAGAGCCUUCCAGCAGUUCCUAAACCGCUCCAGUCGGAGCACGUUAUCAUUAUUGUUAGUUCUGAGUGAAUUCCCUCGGUAUGAUCAUUCUUUCAUCAGUUUGUUCCCCGUUUCUUCUCUAGUCUGAGCCUAACACACUAUUCUAGCUAGACAUGGGUGUGGCUCGUAACACCCGAUGACCAAACGAAUCUAUGGCACCGUCGAAUCUCAAACUGUAAGUGCCAAAACUAUUGUUUUUCAUCCUGUAGUCCCUUUUAGAAUUACUAAACGUCCUUUUUUGGGCAGAUAUUUCCAGGAACGCUUUAUCGGGGUUUGUGUGCGCGUAUUUCAAACCAUACGGACCUAAAAAUUAGAAGUCAUUCCAUCUUUAUUCCCCUAGAGCCUUCUAGCAGUUCCUAAACCGCUCCAGUCGGAGCACGUUAUCAUUCUUGUUAGUUCUGAGCAAAUUCCCUCGGUAUGAUCAUUCUUUCAUCAGUUUGUUCCCCGUUUCUUCUCUAGUCUGAGCCUAGCACACUAUUCUAGCUAUUAAUGGGUGUGGAUCGUAACACCUAAUGACCAAACGGAUCUACGGCACCAUCGAAUCUCAAAUUUAACUGCCAAAACUAUUGUUUUUCAUCCUGUAGUCCCUUUUACAAUUAUUAAACGUCCUUUUUUGGGCCGAGAUUUCCAGGAUCGCUUUCUCGGGGUUUGUGUGCAUGUAUUUCAGACCAAACGUUCCUAAAAAUUUGAAGGCAUUCCAUCUUUAUUCCCCUAGAGCCUUCCAGCGGUUCCUAAACCGCUCCAGUCGGAGCACGUUAUCAUUCUUGUUUGUUCUGAGCGAAUUCCCUCAGUAUGAUCAUUCUUUCAUCAUUUUGUUCCCGGUUUCUUCUCUAGUCUGAGUCUAGCACACUAUUCUAGCUAGACAUGGGUGUGGCUCGUAACACCUAAUGACCAAACGGAUCUACGGCACCGUCGAAUCUCAAACUUUAACUGCCAAAACUAUUGUUUUUCAUCCUGUAGUCCCUUUUAAAUUUACUAAACGUCCUUUUUUGGGCUGAGAUUUCCAGGAACGCUUUCGUGCGGUUUGUGUGCAAGUAUUUCAAAUCAUACGGACCUAUAAAUUAGAAGUCAUUUCAUCUUUAUUCCCCUAGAGCCUUCGAGCGGUUCCUAAACCGCUCCAGUCGGAGCAUGUUAUCAUUCUUGUUAGUUCUGAGUGAAUUCCCUCGGUAUGAUCAUUCUUUCAUCAGUUUGUUCCCCGUUUCUUCUCUAGUCUGAACCUAGCACACUACUCUAGCUAGACAUGGGUUUGGCUCGUAACACCUGAUAACCAAACGGGUCUACGACACCAUCGAAUCUCAAACUUUUUUGGGCCGAGAUUUCCAGGAACGCUUUCUCGGGGUUUGUGUGCACGUAUUUCAAAUCAUGCGGACCUAAAAAUUAGAAGUCAUUCCAUAUUUAUUCCCCUAGAGCCUUCCAGCAAUUCCUAAACCGCUCCAGUCGGAGCAUGUUAUCAUUCUUGCUAGUUCUCAGGGAAUUCCCUCGGUACGAUCAUUCUUUCAUUAGUUUGUUCCCCGUUUUUUCUCUAGCCUGAGCCUAACACACUAUUCUAGCUACACAUGGGUGUGGCUCGUAACACCUGAUGACCAAACGGAUCUAUGGCACCGUCGAAUCUCAAACUUUAACUGCCAAAACUAUUGUUUUUCAUCCUAUAGUCCCUUUUAGAAUUACUAAACGUCCUUUUUUGGGCCGAGAUUUCCAGGAACGCUUUCUCGGGGUUUGUGUGCACGUAUUUCAAACCAUACGGACCUAAAAAUUAGAAGUCAUUCCAUCUUUAUUCCCCUAGAGCCUUCCAGCAGUUCCUAAACUUCUCUAGUCGGAGCAUGUUAUCAUUCUUGUUAGUUCUGAGUGAAUUCCCUCGGUAUGAUCAUUCUUUCAUCAGUUUGUUCUUCGUUUCUUCUCUAGUCUGAGCCUAGCACACUAUUCUAGAUAGACAUGGGUGUGGGUCAUAACACCUGAUGACCAAACGGAUCUACGGCACCCUCGAAUCUCAAACUUUAACUGCCAAAACUAUUGUUUUUCAUCUUGUAGUCCCUUUUAGAAUUACUAAACGUCCUUUUUUGGGCCGAGAUUUCCAGGAACGCUUUCUCGGGGUUUGUGUGCAUAUAUUUCAAACCAAACGUUCCUAAAAAUUAGAAGUCAUUCCAUCUUUAUUCCCCUAGAGGCUUCCAGUAGUUCCUAAACAGCUCUAGUCGGAGCACGUUAUCAUUCUUGUUAGUUCUGAGCGAAUUCCCUCGGUAUGAUCAUUCUAUCAUCUGUUUGUUCCCUGUUUCUUCGCUAGCCUAAGCCUGACACACUAUUCUAGCUAGACAUGGGUGUGGCUCGUGACACCUAAUGACCAGACGGAUCUACGGCACCAUCGAAUCACAAACUUUAACUGCCAAAACUAUUGUUUUUCAUCCUGUAGUCCCUUUUUGAAUUAUUAAACGUCCUUUUUUGGGCCGAUAUUUCCAGGAACGCUUUCUAGGGGUUUGUGUGCAUGUAUUUCAAAUCAUACGGACCUAAAAAUUAGAAGGUAUUCCAUCUUUAUUCCCCUAGAGCCUUCCAGCAGUUCCUAAACCGCUCCAGUCGGAGCAUGUUAUCAUUCUUGUUAGUUCUGAGCGAAUUCCCUCGGUAUGAUCAUUCUUUCAUCAGUUUGUUCCCUGUUUCUUCUCUAGCCUGAGCCUGGCACACUAUUCUAGCUUGACAUGGGUGUGGCUCAUGACACCUAAUGACCAAACGGAUCUACGGCACCAUCAAAUCUCAAACUUUAGCUACCAAAACUAUUGUUUUUCAUUCUGUAGUCCCUUUUAAAUUACUAAACGUCAUUUUUGGGCCGAGAUUUCCAGGAACGCUUUCUCGGGAUUUGUGUGCUUGUAUUUCAAGUUAUACGGACCUAAAAAUUAGAAUCCAUUCCAUCUUUAUUCCCCUAGAGCCUUCCAGCAGUUCCUAAACCGCUCCAGUCGAAGCACGUUAUCAUUAUUGUUAGUUCUGAGUGAAUUCCCUCGGUACGAUCAUUCUUUCAUCAGUUUGUUCCCCGUUUCUUCUCUAGUCUGAGCCUAACACACUAUUCUAGCUAGACAUGGGUGUGGCUCGUAACACCUGAUGACCAAACGGAUCUAAGGCACCGUCGAAUCUCAAACUUUAACUACGAAAACUAUUGUUUUUCAUUCUAUAGUCCCUUUUAGAAUUACUAAACAUCCUUUUCUGGGACGAGAUUUCCAGGAAGGCUUUCUUGGGGUUUGUGUGCGUGUAUUUCAAACAAUACGGACCUGAAAAUUAGAAUUCAUUCCAUCUUUAUUCCCCUAGAGCCUUCCAGCAGUUCCUAAACCGCUACAGUCGGAGCACGUUAUCAUUCUUGUUAGUUCUGAGGGAAUUCCCUUAGUAUGAUCAUUCUUUCAUCAGUUUGUUCCCCGUUUCUUCUCUAGCCUGAGCCUAACACACUAUUUUAGCUACACAUGGGUGUGGCUCGUAACACCUGAUGACCAAACGGAUCUACGGCAUCGUCGAAUCUCAAACUUUAACUGCCAAAACUAUUGUUUUUCAUCCUGUAGUCCCUUGUAGAAUUACUAAACGUCCUUUUUUGGGCCGAGAUUUGGAGGAACACUUUGUCGAGGUUUGUGUGAACGUAUUUCAAACCAUACGGACCUAAAAAUUAGAAGUCAUUCCAUCUUUGUUCCCCUAGAGCCUUCCAGCAGUUCCUAAACCGCUCCAGUCGGAGCAUGUUAUCAUUCUUGUUAGUUCUGAGGGAAUUCCCUCGGUAUGAUCAUUCUUUCAUCAGUUUGUUCCCUGUUUCUUCUCUAGCCUGAGCCUGACACACUAUUCUAGCUAGACAUGGGUGUGGCUCGUGACACCUGGUGACCAAACGGAUCUACGGCACCGUCGAAUCUCAAACUUUAACUACGAAAACUAUUGUUUUUCAUCCUGUAGUCCUUUUUAGAAUUACUAAACGUCCUUUUUUGGGCCGAGAUUUCGAGGAACGCUUUGUCGGGGUUUGUGUGCGCGUAUUUCAAACCAUACGGACCUAAAAAUUAGAAGUCAUUCCAUCUUUAUUCCCCUAGAGCCUUCCAGUAGUUCCUAAACAGCUCUAGUCGGAGCACGUUAUCAUUCUUGUUAGUUCUGAGCGAAUUCCCUCGGUAUGAUCAUUCUUUCAUCAGUUUGUUCUGCGUUUCUUCUCUAGUCUGAGCCUAGCACACUAUUCUAGCUAUUAAUGGGUGUGGAUCGUAACACCUAAUGACCAAACGGAUCUACGACACCGUCGAAUGUCGGUAUGAUCAUUCUUUCAUCAGUUUGUUCCCUGUUUCUUCUCUAGCCUGAGCCUGACACACCAUUCUAGCUAGACAUGGGUGUGGCUCGUGACACCUGAUGACCAAACGGAUCUACGGCACCGUCGAAUCUCACGCUUUCUCGGGGUCUGUGUGCAUGUAUUUCAAAUCAUACGGACCUAAAAAUUAGAAUCCAUUCCAUCUUUAUUCCCCUAGAGCCUUCCAGCAGUUCCUAAACCGCUCCAGUCGGAGCACACUAUCAUUAUUGUUAGUUCUGAGUGAAUUCCCUCGGUAUGAUCAUUCUUUCAUCAGUUUGUUCCCCGUUUCUUCUCUAGUCUGAGCAUAACACACUAUUCUAGCUAGACACGGGUGUGGCUGUAACACCCGAUGACCAAACGGAUCUACGGCACCGUCGAAUCUCAAACUUUAACUACGAAAACUAUUGUUUUUCAUCCUGUAGUCCUUUUUAGAAUUACUAAACGUCCUUUUUUGGGACGAGAUUUCCAGGAACGCUUUCUCGGGGUUUGUGUGCGCGUAUUUCAAACCAUAUGAACCUUAAAAUUAGAAUUCAUUCCAUCUUUAUUCCCCUAGAGCCUUCCAGCAGUUCCUAAACCGCUCCAGUCGGAGCACGUUAUCAUUCUUGUUUGUUCUGAGCAAAUUCCCUCAGUAUGAUCAUUCUUUCAUCAUUUUGUUCCCGGUUUCUUCUCUAGUCUGAGUCUAGCACACUAUUCUAGCUAGACAUGGGUGUGGCUCAUAACACCUAAUGACCAAACGGAUCUACGGCACCAUCGAAUCUCAAACUUUAACUGCUAAAACUAUUGUAUUUCAUCCUUUAGUCCCUUAUCAUUCUUGUUAGUUCUGAGUGAAUUCCCUUGGUAUGAUCAUUCUUUCAUCAGUUUGUUCCCCGUUUCUUCUCUAGUCUGAGCCUAGCACACUAUUCUAGCUAGACAUGGGUGUGGCUCAUAACACCUUAUGACCAAACGGAUCUACGGCACCAUCGAAUCUCAAACUUUAACUGCCAAAACUAUUGUUUUUCAUCCUGUAGUCCCUUUUAGAAUUACUAAACGUCCUUUUUUGGGCAGAUAUUUCCAGGAACGCUUUAUCGGGGUUUGUGUGCACAUAUUUCAGACCAUACGGACCUAAAAAUUAGAAGUCAUUCCAUCUUUAUUCCCCUAUAGCCUUCCAGCAGUUCCUAAACCACUCCAGUCGGAGCACGUUAUCAUUCUUGUUAGUUCUGAGCGAAUUCCCUCGAUAUGAUCAUUCUUUCAUCAAUUUGUUCCCCGUUUCUUCUCUAGUCUAAGCCUAGCAAACUAGUCUAGCUAGACAUGGGUGUGGCUCGUAACACCUGAUGACCAAACGCAUCUAUGACAUCGUCAAAUCUCAAACUAUAACUGCCAAAACUAUUGUUUUUCAUCCUGUAGUCCCUUUUAGAAUACUAAACGUCCUUUUUUGGGCCGAGAUUUCCACGAUCGCUUUCUCGGGGUUUGUGUGCAUGUAUUUCAAACCAAACGUUCCUAAAAAUUUGAAGGCAUUCUAUCUUUAUUCCCCUAGAGCCUUCCAGCAGUUCCUAAACCGCUCCAGUCGGAGCACGUUAUCAUUCUUGUUUGUUCUGAGCGAAUUCCCUCAGUAUGAUCAUUCUUUCAUCAUUUUGUUCCCGGUUUCUUCUCUAGUCUGAGUCUAGCACACUAUUCUAGCUAGACAUGGGUGUGGCUCGUAACACCUAAUGACCAAACGGAUCUACGGCACCGUCGAAUCUCAAACUUUAACUGCUAAAACUAUUGUUUUUCAUCCUUUAGUCCCUUGUAGAAUUACUAAACGUCCUUUUUUGGGCCGAGAUUUCGAGGAACGCUUUGUCGGGGUUUGUGUGCACGUAUUUCAAACCAUACGGACCUAAAAAUUAGAAGUCAUUCCAUCUUUGUUCCCUUAGAGCCUUCCAGCAGUUCCUAAACCGCUCCAGUCGGAGCACGUUAUCAUUCUUGUUAGUUCUGAGCAAAUUCCCUCGGUAUGAUCAUUCUUUCAUCAGUUUGUUCCCUGUUUCUUCUCUAGUCUGAGCCUAGCACACUAUUCUAGCUAUUAAUGGGUGUGGAUCGUAACACCUGAUAACCAAACGGAUCUACGACACCGUCGAAUCUCAAACUUUAACUGCCAAAACUACUGUUUUUCAUUCCGUAGUCCCUUUUAAAUUACUAAACGUCAUUUUUUGGGCAGAGAUAUCCAGGAACGCUUUCUCGGGGUUUGUGUGCACGUAUUUCAAAUCAUACGGACCUAAAAAUUAGAAUCCAUACCAUCUUUAUUCCCCUGGAGCUUUCCAGCAGUUCCUAAACCGCUCCAGUCGGAGCACGUUAUCAUUAUUUUUAGUUCUGAGUGAAUUCCCAUGGUAUGAUCAUUUUCUCAUCAGUUUGUUCCCCGUUUCUUCUCUAGUCUGAGCCUAUCACACUAUUCUAGCUAGACAUGGGUGUGGCUCGUAACACCUGAUGACCAAACGGAUCUACGGCACCGUCGAAUCUCAAACUUCAACUGCCAAAACUAUUAUUUUUCAUCCUGUAGUCCCUUUUAGAAUUACUAAAUGUCCUUUUUUGGGCCGAGAUUUCCAGGAACGCUUUCUCGGGGUUUGUGUGCAUGUAUUUCAAACCAUACGGACCUAAAAAUUAGGUCAUUCCAUCUUUAUUCCCCUAGAGCCUUCCAGCAGUUCCUAAACCGCUCCAGUCGGAGCACGUUAUCAUUCUUGUUUGUUCUGAGCGAAUUCCCUCGAUAUGAUCAUUCUUUCAUCAGUUUGUCCCCCGUUUCUUCUCUAGCCUGAGCCUGACACACUAUUCUAGCUAGACAUGGGUGUGGCUCGUAACACCUAAUGACCAAACGGAUCUACGGCACCGUUGAAUCUCAAACUUUAACUGCCAAAACUAUUGUUUUUCAUUAUGUAGUCCCUUUUAAAUUACUAAACGUCAUUUUUUGGGCUGAGAUAUCCAGGAAAGCUUUCUCGGGGUUUGUGUGCACGUAUUUCAAAUCAUACGGACCUAAAAAUUAGAAGUCAUUCCAUAUUUAUUCCCCUAGAGCCUUCCAGAAAUUCCUAAACCGCUCCAGUUGGACCACGUUAUCAUUCUUGUUAGUUCUGAGUGAAUUACCUCAGUAUGAUCAUUCUUUCAUCAGUUUGUUCCCCGUUUCUUCUAUAGUCUGAGCCUAGCACACUACUCUAGCUAGACAUGGGUGUGGCUCGUAACACCUGAUGACCAAACAGAUCUACGACACCGUCAAAUCUCAAACUUUAACUGCCAAAACUAUUGUUUUUCAUCCUGUAGUCCCUUUUAGAAUUACUAAACGUCCUUUUUUGGGCUGAGAUUUCCAGGAACGCUUUCGCGGGGUUUGUGUGCACGUAUUUUAAACCAUACGGACCUAAAAAUUAGAAGUCAUUCCAUCUUUAUUCCCCUAGAGCCUAACACACUAUUAUAGCUAGACAUGGGUGUGGCUCGUAACACCUGAUGACCAAACGGAUCUACGGCACCAUCGAAUCUCAAACUUUAACUGCCAAAACUAUUGUAUUUCAUCAUGUAGUCCCUUUUAGAAUUAUUAAACGUCCUUUUUUUGGGCCGUGAUUUCCAUGAACGCUUUCUCGGGGUUUCUGUGCACGUAUUUCAAAUCAUACAGACCUAAAAAUUAGAAGGCAUUUCAUCUUUAUUCCCCUAGAGCCUUCCAGCAGUUCCUAAACCGCUCCAGUCGGACCAUGUUAUCAUUCUUGUUAGUUCUGAGUGAAUUCCCUCGAUAUGAUCAUUCUUUCAUCAGUUUGUUCCCCGUUUCUUCUCUAGUCUGAGCCUAGCUCACUAUUCUAGCUAGAUAUGGGUGUGGCUCAUAAUACCCGAUGACCAAACGGAUCUACGGCACCAUCGAAUCUCAAACUUUAGCUGCCAAAACUAUUGUUUUUCAUCCUGUAGUCCCUUUUAGAAUUACUAAACGUCCUUUUUUGGGCCGGGAUUUCCAGGAGCGCUUUCUCGGGGUUUGUGUGCACGUAUUUCAAACCAAGCGUUCCUAAAAAUUAGAAGUCAUUUGAUCUUUAUUCCCCUAGAGCCUUCCAGCAGUUCCUAAACCGCUCCAGUCGGCGCACGUUAUCAUUCUUGUUAGUUCUGAGCGAAUUCCCUCGGUAUGAUCAUUCUUUCAUCAGUUUGUUCCUCGUUUCUUCUCUAGUCUGAGCCUAGCACACUAUUCUAGCUAGACAUGGGUGUGGGUCAUAACACCUGAUGACCAAACCGAUCUACGGCACCAUCGAAUCUCAAACUUUAACUACCAAAACUAUUGUUUUUCAUCCUGUAGUCCCUUUUAGAAUUACCAAACGUCCUUUUUUGGGCCGAGAAUUCCAAGAAUGCUUUCUCGGGGUUUGUGUGCACAUAUUUCAAACCAAACAUUCCUAAAAAUUAGAAAUCAUUCCAUCUUUAUUCCCCAAGAGCCUUCCAGCAGUUCCUAAACAGCUCCACUCAGAGCACGUUGUCAUUCUUGUUAGUUCUGAGCGAAUUCCCUCGGUAUGAUCAUUCUUUCAUCAGUUUGUUCCCUGUUUCUUCUCUAGUCUGAGCCUCGCACACUAUUCUAGCUAUUAAUGGGUGUGGAUCGUAACUCCUGAUGACCAAACGGAUCUACGGCACCGUCGAAUCUCAAACUUUAACUGCCAAAACUACUGUUUUUCAUUCUGUAGUCCCUCUUAAAUUACUAAACGUCAUUUUUUGGGCUGAGAUAUCCAGGAACGCUUUCUCGGGGUUUGUGUGCACGUAUUUCAAAUCAUACGGACCUAAAAAUUAGAAGUCAUUCCAUCUUUAUUCCCCUAGAGCCUUCCAGCAGUUCCUAAACCACUCCAGUCGGAGCACGUUAUCAUUAUUGUUAGUUCCGAGUGAAUUCCCUUGGCAUGAUCUUUCUUUCAUCAGUUUGUUCCCCGUUUCUUCUCUAGUGUUAGCCUAUCACACUAUUCUAGCUAGACAUGGGUGUGGCUCGUAACACCUGAUGACCAAACGGAUCUACGGCACCGUCGAAUUUCAAACUUUAACUGCCAAAACUAUUGUUUUUCCUCCUGUAGUCCCUUUUAGAAUUACUAAAUGUCCUUUUUUGGGCCGAGAUUUCCAGGAAUGCUUUCUCGGGGUUUGUGUGCAUGUAUUUCAAACCAUACGGACCUAAAAAUUAGGUCAUUCCAUAUUUAUUCCCCUAGAGCCUUCCAGCAGUUCCUAAACAUCUCCAGUCGGAGCACGUUAUCAUUCUUGUUUGUUCUGAGCGAAUUCCCUCAGUAUGAUCAUUCUUUCAUCAUUUUGUGCCCUGUUUCUUCUCUAGUCUGAGCAUAGCACACUAUUCUAGCUAGACAUGGGUGUGGCUCGUAACACCUGAUGACCAAACGGAUGUACGACACCGUCGAAUCUCAAACUUUAACUGCCAAAACUAUUGUUUUUCAUCCUGUAGUCCCUUUUAAAUUUACUAAAUGUCCUUUUUGGGCUGAGAUUUCCAGGAACGCUUUCGUGCGGUUUGUGUGCAAGUAUUUCUAAUCAUACGGACCUAUAAAUUAGAAGUCAUUCCAUCUUUAUUCCCCUAGAGCCUUCGAGCAGUUCCUAAACCGCGCCAGCCGGAGCAUGUUAUCAUUCUUGUUAGUUCUGAGUGAAUUCCCUCGGUAUGAUCAUUCUUUCAUCAGUUUGUUCCCCGUUUCUUCUCUAGUCUGAGCCUAGCACACUACUCUAGCUAGACAUGGGUUUGGCUCGUAACACCUGAUAACCAAACAGGUCUACGACUCCAUCGAAUCUCAAACUUUUUUGGGCCGAGAUUUCCAGGAACGCUUUCUCGGGGUUUGUGUGCACGUAUUUCAAAUCAUGCGGACCUAAAAAUUAGAAGUCAUUCCAUAUUUAUUACCCUAGAGCCUUCCAGCAGUUCCUAAACCGCUCCAGUCGGAGCAUGUUAUCAUUCUCUUUAGUUCUCAGGGAAUUCCCUCGGUAUGAUCAUUCUUUCAUCAGUUUAUUCCCUGUUUUUUCUCUAGCAUGAGCCUAACACACUAUUCUAGCUACACAUGGGUGUGGCUCGUAACACCUGAUGACCAAACGGAUCUACGGCACCGUCGAAUCUCAAACUUUAACUGCCAAAACUAUUGUUUUCGUCCUGUAGUCCCUUUUAGAAUUACUAAACGUCCUUUUUUGGGCCGAGAUUUCCAGGAACGCUUUCUCGGGGUUUGUGUGCACGUAUUUCAAAUCAUACGGACCUAAAAAUUAGAAGUCAUUCCAUCUUUAUUCCCCUAGAGCCUUCCAGCAGUUCCUAAACAGCUCUAGUCGGAGCAAGUUAUCAUUCUUGUUAGUUCUGAGCGAAUUCCCUCGGUAUGAUCAUUCUUUCAUUAGUUUGUUCUGCGUUUCUUCUCUAGUCUGAGCCUAGCACACUAUUCUAGCUAUUAAUGGGUGUGGAUCGUAACACCUAAUGACCAACGGAUCUACGGCACCAUCGAAUCUCAAACUUUAACUGCCAAAACUAUUAUUUUUCAUCCUGUAGUCCCUUUAAAAAUUAUUAAAUGUCAUUUUUUGGGCCGAGAUUUCCAGGAACGCUUUCUCGGGGUUUGUGUGCAUGUAUUUCAAGUCAUACGGACCUAAAAAUUAGAAUCCAUUCCAUCUUUAUUCCCCUAGAGCCUUGCAGCAGUUCCUAAACCGCUCCAGUCGGAGCACGUUAUCAUUAUUGUUAGUUCUGAGUGAAUUCCCUCGGUAUGAUUAUUCUUUCAUCAGUUUGUUCCCCAUUUCUUCUCUAGUCUGAGCCUAACACACUAUUCUAGCUAGACAUGGGUGUGGCUCGUAAUACCUGAUGACCAAACGGAUCUACAGCACCGUCGAAUCUCAAACUUUAACUACGAAAACUAUUGUUUUUCAUUCUAUAGUCCCUUUCAGAAUUACUAAACGUCCUUUUUUGGGCCGAGAUUUCCAGGAACGCUUUCUCGGGGUUUGAGUGCGCGUAUCUAACAAUACAGACCUAAAGAUUAGAAUUCAUUCCAUCUUUAUUCCCCUAGAGCCUUCCAGCAGUUCCUAAACUGCUCCAGUCGGAGCACGUUAUCAUUCUUGUUAGUUCUCAGGGAAUUCCCUCGGUAUGAUCAUUCUUUCAUCAGUUUGUUCCCCGUUUCUUCUCUAGCAUGAGCCAAACACACUAUUCUAGCUACACAUGGGUGUGCCUCGUAACACCUGAUGACCAAACGGAUCUACGGCACCGUCGAAUCUCAAACUUUAACUGCCAAAAUUAUUGUUUUUCAUCUUGUAGUCCCUUGUAGAAUUACUAAACGUCCUUUUUUGGGCCGAGAUUUCGAGAAACACUUUGUCAGGGUUUGUUUGCACGUAUUUCAAACCAUACGGACCUAAAAAUUAGAAGUCAUUCCAUCUUUGUUCCCCUAGAGCCUUCCAGCAGUUCCUAAACCGCUCCAGUCGGAGCAUGUUAUCAUUCUUGUUAGUUCUGAGCAAAUUCCCUCGGUAAGAUCAUUCUUUCAUCAGUUUGUUCCCUGUUUCUUCUCUAGCCUGAGCCUGACACACUAUUCUAGCUAGACAUGGGCGUGGCUCGUGACACCUGAUGACCAAACGGAUCUACGGCACCGUCGAAUCUCAAACUUUAACUACCAAAACUAUUGUUUUUCAUUCUGUAGUCCCUUUUAAAUUACUAAACGUCAUUUUUUCGGCCGAGAUUUCCAGGAACGCUUUCUUGUGGUUUGUGUGCAUGUAUUUCAAAUCAUACGGACCUAAAAAUUGGAAUCCAUUCCAUCUUUAUUCCCCUAGAGCCUUCCAGCAGUUCCUAAUCCGCUCCAGUCGGAGCACGUUAUCAUUGUUGUUAGUUCUGAGUGAAUUCCCUCGGUAUGAUCAUUCUUUCAUCAGUUUGUUCCCUGUUUCUUCUCUAGUCUGAGCCUAACACACUAUUCUAGCUAGACAUGGGUGUGGCUCGUAACACCCGAUGACCAAACGGAUCUACGGCACCGUCGAAUCUCAAACUUUAACUGCGAAAACUAUUGUUUUUCAUCCUGUAGUCCUUUUUAGAAUUACUAAACGUCCUUUUUUGGGACGAGAUUUCCAGGAACGCUUUCUCGGGGUUUGUGUGCGCGUAUUUCAAACCAUACGAACCUUAAAAUUAGAAUUCAUUCCAUCUUUAUUCCCCUAGAGCCUUCCAGCAGUUCCUAAACCGCUCCAGUCGGAGCACGUUAUCAUUCUUGUUAGUUCUGAGCAAAUUCCCUCGGUAUGAUCAUUCUUUCAUCAGUUUGUUCCCCGUUUCUUCUCUAGUCUGAGCCUAGCACACUAUUCUAGCUAUUAGUGGGUGUGGAUCGUAACACCUAAUGACCAAACGGAUCUAUGGCACCAUCGAAUCUCAAACUUUAACUGCCAAAACUAUUGUUUUUCAUCCUGUAGUCCCUUUUACAAUUAUUAAACGUCCUUUUUUGGGCCGAGAUUUCCAGGAACGCUUUCUCGGGGUUUGUGUGCAUGUAUUUCAAACCAAACGUUCCUAAAAAUUUGAAGGCAUUCCAUCUUUAUUCCCCUAGAGCCUUCCAGCAGUUCCUAAACCGCUCCAGUCGGAGCACGUUACCAUUCUUGUUAGUUCUGAGCGAAUUCCCUCGGUAUGAUCAUUUUUUCAUCAGUUUUUUCCCUGUUUCUUCUCUAGUCUGAGCCUCGCACACUAUUCUAGCUAUUAAUGGGUGUGGAUCGUAACACCUGAUGACCAAACGGAUCUACGGCACCGUCGAAUCUCAAACUUUAACUGCCAAAACUACUGUUUUUCAUUCUGUAGUCCAUUUUAAAUUACUAAACGUCAUUUUUGGGGCCGAUAUUUCCAGGAACGCUUUCUCGGGGUUUGUGUGCACGUAUUUCAAAUCAUACGGACCUAAAAAUUAGAAGUCAUUCCAUCUUUAUUCCCCUAGAGCCUUCCAGCAGUUCCUAAACCACUCCAGUCGGAGCAUGUUAUCAUUAUUGUUAGUUCUGAGUGAAUUCCCUCGGUAUGAUCAUUCUUUCAUCAGUUUGUUCCCCGUUUCUUCUCUAGUCUGAGCCUAUCAUACUAUUCUAGCUAGACAUGGGUGUGGCUCGUAACAUCUGAUGACCAAACGGAUCUAUGGCACCGUCGAAUCUCAAACUUUAACUGCCAAAACUAUUGUUUUUCAUCCAGUAGUCCCUUUUAGAAUUACUAAAUGUCCUUUUUUGGGCCGAGAUUUCCAGGAACGCUUUCUCGGGGUUUGUGUGCAUGUAUUUAAAACCAUACGGACCUAAAAAUUAGGUCAUUCCAUCUUUAUUCCCCUAGAGCCUUCCAGCAGUUCCUAAACCGCUCCAGUCGGAGCACGUUAUCAUUCUUGUUUGUUCUGAGCGAAUUCCCUCAGUAUGAUCAUUUUUCAUCAUUUUGUUCCCCGUUUCUUCUCUAGUCUGAGCCUAGCACACUAUUCUAGCUAGACAUGGGUGUGGCUCGUAACACUUGAUGACCAAAGGAUCUACGGCACCGUCGAAUCUCAAACUUUAACUGCCAAAACUAUUGUUUUUCAUCGUGUAGUCCCUUUGAAAUUUACUAAACGUCCUUUUUUGGGCUGAGAUUUCCAGGAAAGCUUUCGUGCGGUUUGUGUGCAAGUAUUUCAAAUCAUACGGACCUAUAAAUUAGAAGUCAUUCCAUCUUUAUUCCCCUAGAGCCUUCGAGCGGUUCCUAAACCGCUCCAGUCGGAGCAUGUUAUCAUUCUUGUUAGUUCUGAGUGAAUUCCCUCGGUAUGAUCAUUCUUUCAUCAGUUUGUUCCCCGUUUCUUCUCUAGUCUGAGCCUAGCACACGACUCUAGCUAGACAUGGGUUUGGCUCGUAACACCUGAUAACCAAAUGGCUCUAUGACACCAUCGAAUCUCAAACUUCUUUGGGCUGAGAUUUCCAUGAACGCUUUCUCGGGGUUUGUGUGCACGUAUUUCNNNNNNNNNNNNNNNNNNNNNNNNNNNNNNNNNNNNNNNNNNNNNNNNNNNNNNNNNNNNNNNNNNNNNNNNNNNNNNNNNNNNNNNNNNNNNNNNNNNNNNNNNNNNNNNNNNNNNNNNNNNNNNNNNNNNNNNNNNNNNNNNNNNNNNNNNNNNNNNNNNNNNNNNNNNNNNNNNNNNNNNNNNNNNNNNNNNNNNNNNNNNNNNNNNNNNNNNNNNNNNNNNNNNNNNNNNNNNNNNNNNNNNNNNNNNNNNNNNNNNNNNNNNNNNNNNNNNNNNNNNNNNNNNNNNNNGUAUUUCAAAUCAUGCGGACCUAAAAAUUAGAAGUCAUUCCAUAUUUAUUCCCCUAGAGCCUUCCAGCAGUUCCUAAACUGCUCCAGUCGGAGCAUGUUAUCAUUCUUGUUUGUUCUCAGGGAAUUCCAUCGGUAUGAUCAUUCUUUCAUCAGUUUGUUCCCCGUUUUUUCUCUAGCCUGAGCCUAACACACUAUUCUAGCUACACAUGGGUGUGGCUCGUAACACCUGAUGACCAAACGGAUCUACGACACCGUCGAAUCUGAAACUUUAACUGCCAAAACUAUUGUUUUUCAUCCUGUAGUCCCUUUUAGAAUUAGUAAACGUCCUUUUUUGGGCCAAGAUUUCCAGGAACGCUUUCUCGGGGUUUGUGUGCACGUAUUUCAAAACAUACGGACCUAAAAAUUAGAAGUCAUUCCAUCUUUAUUCCCCUAGAGCCUUCCAGCAGUUCCUAAACUGCUCUAGUCGGAGCAUGUUAUCAUUCUUGUUAGUUCUGAGUGAAUUCCCUCGGUAUGAUCAUUCUUUCAUAAGUUUGUUCCCCAUUUCUUCUCUAGUCUGAGCCUAGCACACUAUUCUAGAUAGACAUGGGUGUGGGCCAUAACACCUGAUGACCAAACGGAUCUACGGCACCCUCGAAUCUCAAACUUUAACUGCCAAAACUAUUGUUUUUCAUCUUGUAGUCCCUUUUAGAAUUACUAAACGUCCUUUUUUGGGCCGAGAUUUCCAGGAACGCUUUCUCGGGGUUUGUGUGCAUGUAUUUCAAACCAAACGUUCCUAGAAAUUAGAAGUCAUUCCAUGUUUAUUCCCCUAGAGCCUUCCAGCAGUUCCUAAACAGCUCUAGUCGAAGCACGUUAUCAUUCUUGUUAGUUCUGAGCGAAUUCCCUCGGUAUGAUCAUUCUUUCAUCAGUUUGUUUUGCGUUUCUUCUCUAUUCUGAGCCUAGCAAACUAUACUAGCUAUUAAUGGGUGUGGAUCGUAACACCUAGUGACCAAACGGAUCUACGGCACCAUCGAAUCUCAAACUUUAACUGCCAAAACUAUUAAACGUCCUUUUUUGGGCCGAGAUUUCCAGGAACGCUUUCUCGGGGUUUGUGUGCAUGUAUUUCAAAUCAUACGGACCUAAAAAUUAGAAGGCAUUCCAUCUUUAUUCCCCUAGAGCCUUCCAGUAGUUCCUAAACCACCCCAGUCGGAGCACGUUAUCAUUCUUGUUAGUUCUGAGCGAAUUCCCUUGGUAUGAUCAUUCUUUCAUCAGUUUGUUCCCUGUUUCUUCUCUAGCCUGAGCCUGACACACUAUUCUAGCUAGACAUGGGUGUGGCUCGUGACACCUAAUGAGCAAACGGAUCUACGGCACCGUCGAAUCUCAAACUUUAACUACCAAAACUAUUGUUUUUCAUUCUGUAGUCCCUUUUAAAUUACUAAACAUCAUUUUUUGGGCCGAGAUUUCCAGGAACGCUUUCUCGGGGUUUGUGUGCAUGUAUUUCAAUUCAUACGGACCUAAAAAUUAGAGUCCAUUCCAUCUUUAUUCCCCUAGAGCCUUCCAACAGUUCCUAAACCGCUCCAGUCGGAGCACGUUAUCAUUAUUGUUAGUUCUGAGUGAAUUCCCUCGGUAUGAUCAUUCUUUCAUCAGUUUGUUCCCGUUUCUUCUCUAGUCUGAGCCUAACACACUAUUCUAGCUAGACAUGGGUGUGGCUCGUAACACCUGAUGACCAAACGGAUCUACGGCACCGUCGAAUCUCAAACAUUAACUACGAAAACUAUUGUUUUUCAUUCUAUAGUCCCUUUUAGAAUUACUAAGCGUCCUUUUUUGGGCUGAGAUUUCCAGGAACGCUUUCUCGGGGUUUGUGUGCACGUAUUUCAAACAAUACGGACCGAAAAAUUAGAAUUCAUUCCAUCUUUAUUCCCCUAGAGCCUUCUAGCAGUUCCUAAAUCGCUCCAGUCGGAGCACGUUAUCAUUCUUGUUAGUUCUCAGGGAAUUCCCUCGGUAUGAUCAUUCUUUCAUCAGUUUGUUCCCCGUUUCUUCUCUAGCCUGAGCCUAACACACUAUUCUAGCUACACAUGGGCAUGGCUCGUAACACCUGAUGACCAAAUGGAUCUACGACACCGUCGAAUCUCAAACUUUAACUGCCAAAACUAUUGUUUUUCAUCCUGUAGUCCCUUGUAGAAUUACUAAACGUCCUUUUUUGGGCCGAGAUUUCGAGGAACGCUUUGUCGGGGUUUGUGUGCACAUAUUUCAAACCAUACGGACCUAAAAAUUAGAAGUCAUUCCAUCUUUGUUCCCCUAGAGCCUUCCAGCAGUUCCUAAACCGCUCCAGUCGGAGCACGUUAUCAUUCUUGUUAGUUAUGAGCAAAUUCCCUCGGUAUGUACAUUCUUUCAUCAGUUUGUUCCGUGUUUCUUCUCUAGCCUGAGCUUGACACACUAUUCUAGCUAGACAUGGGUGUGGCUCGUGACACCUAAUGACCAAACGGAUCUACGGCACCGUCGAAUCUCAAACUUUAACUACCAAAACUAUUGUUUUUCAUUCUGUAGUCCCUUUUAAAUUACUAAACGUCCUUUUUUGGGCCGAGAUUUCCAGGAACGCUUUCGCCCGGUUUGUGUGCAAGUAGUUCAAAUCAUACGGACCUAAAAAUUAGAUGUCAUUCCAUCUUUAUUCCCUCUAGAGCCUUCCAGCACUUCCUAAACCGCUCUAGUCGGAGCACGUUAUCAUUCUUGUUAGUUCUGAGUGAAUUCCCUUGGUAUGAUCAUUCUUUCAUCAGUUUGUUCUCCAUUUCUUCUCUAGUCUGAGCCUAACACACUACUCUAGCUAGACAUGGGUGUGGCUCAUAACACCUCAUGACCAAACAGGUCUACGGCACCAUCAAAUCUCAAACUUUAACUGCCAAAACUAUUGUUUUUCAUUCUGUAGUCCAUUUUAGAAUUACUAAACGUCCUUUUUUGGGACGAGAUUUCCAGGAACGCUUUCUCGGGGUUUGUGUGCACGUAUUUCAAAUCAUACAGACCUAAAAAUUAGAAGUCAUUCCAUCUUUAUUCCCCUAGAGCCUUCCAGCAGUUCCUAAACCGCUCCAGUCAGAGCAUGUUAUCAUUCUUGGUAGUUCUGAGUGAAUUCCCUCGGUAUGAUCAUUCUUUCAUCAGUUUGUUCCCCGUUUCUUCUCUAGCCUGAGCCUAACACACUAUUCUAGCUAGACAUGUGUGUGGCUCGUAACACCUGUUGACCAAACGGAUCUACGGCACCGUCGAAUCUCAAAUUUUAACUGCCAAAACUAUUGUUUUUCAUCUUGUAGUCCCUUUUAGAAUUACUAAACGUCCUUUUUUGGGCCGAGAUUUCCAGGAACGCCUUCUCGGGGUUUGUUUGCACGUAUUUCGAACCAUAUGGACCUAAAAAUUAGAAGUCAUUCCAUAUUUAUUCCCCUAUAGCCUUCCCGCAGUUUCUAAACCGCUCCAGUCGAAGCAUGUGAUCAUUCUUGUUAGUUCUGAGUGAAUUCCCUCGGUAUGAUCAUUCUUUCAUCAGUUUGUUCCCUGUUUCUUCUCUAGCCUGAGCCUGACACACUAUUCUAGCUAGACAUGGGUGUGGCUCAUGACACUUGAUGACCAAACGGAUCUACGGCACCGUUGAAUCUCAAACUUUAACUACCAAAACUAUUGUUUUUCAUUCUGUAGUCCCUUUUAAAUUACUAAACGUCAUUUUUUGGGCCGAGAUUUCCAGGAACGCUUUCUCGGGGUCUGUGUGCAUGUAUUUCAAAUCAUACGGACCUAAAAAUUAGAAUCCAUUCCAUCUUUAUUCCCCUAGAGCCUUCGAGCAGUUCCUAAACCGCUCCAGUUGGAGCACGUUAUCAUUAUUGUUAGUUGUGAGUGAAUUCCCUCGGUAUGAUCAUUCUUUCAUCAGUUUGUUCCCUGUUUCUUCUCUAGUCUGAGCCUAACACACUAUUCUAGCUAGACAUGGGUGUGGCUCGUAACACCCGAUGACCAAACGGAUCUACGGCACCGUCGAAUCUCAAACUUUAACUGCGAAAACUAUUGUUUUUCAUCCUGUAGUCCUUUUUAGAAUUACUAAACGUCCUUUUUUGGGACGAGAUUUCCAGGAACGCUUUCUCGGGGUUUGUGUGCGCGUAUUUCAAACCAUACGAACCUUAAAAUUAGAAUUCAUUCCAUCUUUAUUCCCCUAGAGCCUUCCAGAAGUUCCUAAACCGCUCCAGUCGGAGCACGUUAUCAUUCUUGUUAGUUCUGAGCGAAUUCCCUCGGUAUGAUCAUUCUUUCAUCAGUUUGGCCCCCCUUUCUUCUCUAUUCUGAGCCUAGCACACUAUUCUAGCUAUUAAUGGGUGUGGAUCGUAACACCUAAUGACCAAACGGAUCUACGACACCAUCGAAUCGCAAUCUUUAACUGCCAAAACUAUUGUUUUUCAUCCUGUAGUCCCUUUUACAAUUAUUAAACGUCCUAUUUUGGGCCGAGAUUUCCAGGAACGCUUUCUCGGGGUUUGUGUGCAUGUAUUUCAAAUCAUACGGACCUAAAAGUUUGAAGGCAUUCCAUCUUUAUUCCCCUAGAGCCUUCCAGCAGUUCCUAAACCGCUCCAGUCGGAUCACGUUAUCAUUAUUGUUAGUUCUGAGCAAAUUCCCUCGGUAUGAUCAUUCUUUCAUCAGUUUGUUCCCUGUUUCUUCUCUAACCUGAGCAUGACACACUAUUCUAGCUAGACAUGGGUGUGGCUCGUGACACCUGAUGACCAAACGGAUCUACGGCACCGUCGAAUCUCAAACUUUAACUGCAAAAACUAUUGUUUUUCAUUCUAUAGUCCCUUUUAAAUUACUAAACGUCCUUUUUUGGGCCGAGAUUUCCAGGAACGCUUUCGCCCGGUUUGUGUGCAAGUAUUUCAAAUCAUACGGACCUAAAAAUUAGAUGUCAUUCCAUCUUUAUUCCCUCUAGAGCCUUCCAGCACUUCCUAAACCGCUCUAGUCGGAGCACGUUAUCAUUCUUGUUAGUUCUGAGUGAAUUCCCUUGGUAUGAUCAUUCUUUCAUCAGUUUGUUCUCCAUUUCUUCUCUAGUCUGAGCCUAGCACACUACUCUAGCUAGACAUGGGUGUGGCUCAUAACACCUGAUGACCAAACGGAUCUACGGCACCGUCGAAUCUCUAACUUUAACUGCAAAAACUAUUGUUUUUCAUCCUGUAGUCCCUUUUAGAAUUACUAAACGUCCUCUUUUGGGCCGAGAUUUCCAAGAACGCUUUCUCAGGGUUUGUGUGCGUGUAUUUCAAAGCAUAUGGACCUAAAAAUUAGAAUUCAUUCCAUCUUUAUUCCCCUAGAGCCUUCCAGCAGUUCCUAAACCGCUCCACUCGGAUUACGUUAUCAUUCUUGUUAGUUCUGAGCGAAUUCCCUCGGUAUGAUCAUUCUUUCAUCAGUUUGUUCCCCGUUUCUUCUCUAGUCCGAGCCUAGCACACAAUUCUAGCUAGACAUGGGUGUGGCUCGUAUCACCUGAUGACCAAACGGAUCUACGGCACCGUCGAAUCUCAAAUUUAACUGCCAAAACUAUUAUUUUUCAUCCUGUAGUCCCUUUUAGAAUUACUAAACGUCCUUUUUUGGGCCGAGAUUUCCAGGAACGCUUUCGCGCGGUUUGUGUGCAAGUAUUUCAAAUCAUACGGACCUAAAAAUUAGAUGUCAUUCCAUCUUUAUUCCCCUAGAGCCUUCCAGCACUUCCUAAACCGCUCCAGUCGGAGCACGUUAUCAUUCUUGUUAGUUCCGAGUGAAUUCCCUUGGUAUGAUCAUUCUUUCAUCAGUUUGUUCUCCAUUUCUUCUCUAGUCUGAGCCUAGCACACUACUCUAGCUAGACAUGGGUGUGGCUCAUAAGACCUCAUGACCAAACGGGUCUACGGCACCAUCAAAUCUCAAACUUUAACUGCUAAAACUAUUGUUUUUCAUUCUGUAGUCCCUUUUAGAAUUACUAAACAUCCUUUUUUGGGCCGAGAUUUCCAGGAACGCUUUCUCGGGGUUUGUGUGCAUGUAUUUCAAAUCAUACAGACCUAGAAAUUAGAAGUCAUUCCAUCUUUAUUCCCCUAGAGCCUUCCAGCAGUUCCUAAACCGCUCCAGUCAGAGCAUGUUAUCAUUCUUGGUAGUUCUGAGUGAAUUCCCUCGGUAUGAUCAUUCUUUCAUCAGUUUGUUCCCCGUUUCUUCUCUAGCCCGAGCCUAACACACUAUUCUAGCUAGACAUGUGUGUGGCUCGUAACACCUGAUGACCAAACGGAUCUACGGCACCGUCGAAUCUCAAACUUUAUCUGCCAAAACUAUUGUUUUUCAUCUUGUAGUCCCUUUUAGAAUUACUAAACGUCCUUUUUUGGGCCGAGAUUUCCAGGAAUGCUUUCUCGGGGUUUGUUUGCAUGUAUUCCAAACCAUACAGACCUAAAAAAUUAGAAGUCAUUCCAUAUUUAUUCCCCUAUAGCCUUCCAGCAGUUUGUAAACCGCUCCAGUCGGAGCAUGUUAUCAUUCUUGUUAGUUCUGAGUGAAUUCCCUCGGUAUGAUCAUUCUUUCAUCAGUUUGUUCCCUGUUUCUUCUCUAGCCUGAGCCUGACACACUAUUCUAGCUAGACAUGGGUGUGGCUCAUGACACCUGAUGACCAAACGGAUCUACGGCACCGUCGAAUCUCAAACUUUAACUACCAAAACUAUUGUUUUUCAUUCUGUUGCCCCUUUUAAAUUACAAAACGUCAUUUUUUGGGCCGAGAUUUCCAGGAACGCUUUCUCGGGGUUUGUGUGCAUGUAUUUCAAGUCAUACGAACCUAAAAAUUAGAAUACAUUCCAUCUUUAUUCCCCUAGAGCCUUCCAGCAGUUCCUAAACCGCUCCAGUCAGAGCACGUUAUCAUUCUUGUUAGUUCUCAGGGAAUUCCCUCGGUAAGACCAUUCUUUCAUCAGUUUGUUCCCCGUUUCUUCUCUAGCCUGUGCCUAGCACACUAUUCUAGCUACACAUGGGUGUGGCUCGUAACACGUGAUGACCAAACGGAUCUACGACACCGUCGAAUCUCAAACUUUAACUGCCAAAACUAUUGUUUUUCAUCCUGUAGUCCCUUGUAGAAUUACUAAACGUCCUUUUUUGGGCCGAGAUUUCGAGGAACGCUAUGUUGGGGUUUGUGUGCACGUAUUUCAAACCAUACAGACCUAAAAAUUAGAAGUCAUUCCAUCUUUGUUCCCCUAGAGCCUUCCAGCAGUUCCUAAACCGCUCUAGUUGGAGCACGUUAUCAUUCUUGUUAGUUCUGAGCAAAUUCCCUCGGUAUGAUCAUUCUUUCAUCAGUUUAUUCCCUGUUUCUUCUCUAGUUUGAGCCUAGCACACUAUUCUAGCUACUAAUGGGUGUGGAUCGUAACACCUGAUGACCAAACGGAUCUACGGCACCGUCGAAUCUCAAACUUUAACUGCCAAAACUACUGUUUUUCAUUCCGUAGUCCCUUUUAAAUUACUAAACGUCAUUUUUUGGGCAGAGAUAUCCAGGAACGCUUUCUCGGGGUUUGUGUGCACGUAUUUCAAAUCAUACGGACCUAAAAAAUAGAUUCCAUUCCAUCUUUAUUCCCCUCGAGCUUUCCAGCAGUUCCUAAACCGCUCCAGUCGGAGCACGUUAUCAUUAUUGUUAGUUCUGAGUGAGUUCCCUCGGUAGGAUCAUUCUUUCAUCAGUUUGUUCCCCGUUUCUUCUCUAGUCUGAGCCUAACACACUAUUCUAGCUAGACAUGGGCAUGGAUCAUAACACCUGAUGACCAAACGGAUCUACGGCACCGUCGAAUCUCAAACUUUAACUGCGAAAACUAUUGUUUUUCAUCCUGUAGUCCCUUUUAGAAUUACUAAACGUCCUUUUUGGGCCGAGAUUUCCAGGAACGCUUUCUCAGGGUUUGUGUGCGUGUAUUUCAAACCAUACGGACCUAAAAAUUAGAAUUCAUUCCAUCUUUAUUUCCCUAGAGCCUUCCAGCAGUUCCUAAACCGCUCCAGUCGGAGCACGUUAUCAUUCUUGUUAGUUCUGAGCGAAUUCCCUCGGUAUGAUCAUUCUUUCAUCAGUUUGUUCCCCGUUUCUUCUCUAGUCUGAGCCUAACACACGAUUCUAGCUAGACAUGGGUGUGGCUCGUAUCACCUGAUGACCAAACAGAUCUACGGCACCGUCGAAUCUCAAAUUUAACUGCCAAAACUAUUAUUUUUCAUCCUGUAGUCCCUUUUAGAAUUACUAAACGUCCUUUUUUUGGCCGAGAUUUCCAGGAACGCUUUCGCCCAGUUUGUGUGCAAGUAUUUCAAAUCAUACGGACCUAAAAAUUAGAUGUCAUUCCAUCUUUAUUCCCCU